rnacentral:lncRNA from 1 species
UAGGCUUGAAAGGCUCAAACGGUUCAAAGAAGGCCCAAAUCAUAUCCCAAAUCACUUACUACCAACACUUCGUAUCAUAAAUGUCCUAAGGUGAGAUUUAAAACCGAACAAAGCAUGAUUGAGCACAAAUAAAUUCCAAAUUUAAAAUGCAAAACAUUCAACCAAAGCAAUGCACAAGGUGUGAUUCCUAGCAAUAAUUCACUUCUACGUUCCGUUGAAUCGAAAACUAAACAAAUAUCUACUCCUUAAAAGCAUAAAACAAGUAGUCUCAUCAUCAAACAUUGACCAUCUCUCAUCAUCAUAAUUCAUCGAUGCAACGAAAACAAAACUAAAGCAUGCAAACUAAAGCAUGCAAACGAAAACAAAUAAAGCGCACAUAAACGAAAACAAGUAGUUAACACCCCCAAACUUAAAAUUCACAUUGCCCUCAAUGUGAUUCGCCCGGAGUUUAAGGAUAGAAAACACCUGUUUAAAUGUCGGGACCACCGUCGGGUUGCUCACCAACUCCACCGUGCGCAUGAGCAUUAGAAUUGUGAGAAUUGUGGGUUGGAAAACCUUGUUGAUCGGCCCCGUUUUUUUUUUUCUUUUUUUUUUUUUUUUUAAUUUUUUUUUUUUAAUUUUUUUUUUUUUUUUUUUUCAAUCCGCACGGCCGUGCCAAAAGCCGGAUUUGGGCAGUAGCCCCUUCGAAUCUCAGACGGCCGUGCGAGAUUUUGGCCUAAAAUCCGCACGGCCGUCCGAAAAAAAAAAUAUUUAAUUAUGUGUGGUACCUGAAACAUCAAGAAACACAUAUUAAAUAUAUUAGAAAUUAAUAUUUAAUUAUAUUAUCAAACUGACAUUAAAAUUAUUUAAAAUAAUAUAAGGGUAUAAGCAAACGUUAAGACGUGAAAAGAACGAAUCGUUCUUAAUAGGAUAAAUUACGAAAAUCCUCAUGAAAUUAGGCUAAAUUACAGAAAGCACCCCCACUUAUCUGUAAUUACCAAAAUCCCCCAGAUGAUUGUUUAUGUCUUACACGACCCCCUUAUGGUGUGAUUUUUUACGGAAUCUUUUUUAUUUCAUGUAAUAUCCCAAAAUUUGUGGAUUCUACCCUUGCAGACGUGACAUUUAUUUUAUCUUACUUUUUAAAUACAAAAAAUACCCUAAGGGGAGGUAAUAGUAAUACUAAAAAGUUGUGAAGAUGUUAUUUAAGAAGAAUAAAUAUUUCGUGUAAAGACAAAGUUCCCCUACAAGGUAAUUUUUGUAUUUAAAAAGUAUCAUAAACAAAUGUCUUGUGCAGGAUAGAAUCUGCAUUUUUCGGGGAAUAUUCCACGUAGUAAAAAAAAUUGCUUGAACAAUCAUACCAUAAGGGGGUCGAUGUAAGACGGAAACAAACAUUAGGAAAAUUUUGGUAAUUACGAAUAUGAUAUUAAAUUAGUAAAAAAGAUAAACAUAUUCUCUGGUCAUGUUCAGGUAAAAUGUAUAAUAUCAAAUAAUUUAUUCUGCAAUAUUUUUUUUUUAUAUAAAUCCAAGUUUAUGAAUUAAAAUACAAAAUUUUCGUGACACCAUCAAUCAUACAAUUAUAAUAAGUGAAGAUUUUAAAUUGAAUUUAAAUAAAUUUAAAUUAAAUUAAUUACUAUUAAAAUUAAAUUAAAAAAUAAAACUAUUUAAAGUUUCCAAAAAAGUUGAUAUAUUUAGAGCAUUUUAUAAAUGAUAUGAUAUAAAUAUAUAAUAAAAUAAUUUAAUAUCUUUUUAAUUUUGGAAAAUGGUGACAUGUUUUUUGAUGAUUUAUUUCCACCAAUCAAUUUGCCACAUGGGAUGGUGACAUGGUGUAGUAUUAACCUAUCAGUAUGAGUAUCAGUAUUAGUAUGAGUAUCACCCCCUAAUAGUAAGGGGAUAAUAUUAAUUACUUUGAUUGAGAUAUUUUUUUUCUUAUUAGUGUAUGAUUCGGAUGGUAUUGACGAAAUGAUUGACAACAACCAUGAAAUACCAAAGAACGAUGGAGAUGAUGGAAUUGACGAUGAACAUGUCGACAACCAAAUGUAUGAUGAGGAUAACAUCGGUGAAAUUAAGUUUGAUAAAACGAUGACUUUAUCAAAUAAGUCGAGAGUGGUAAAUUAAUCAAUUGUGUUAUUCAAUAUUUACAAUGAAAUAAAAUCAUCUUAUUUGAAUUAAUUAUAUAAUUAUUAACCGUUGCAGACUAUCCCCGUUGAAUUUGCUAAUGCGUCAGGUUUCACAGAGACAACCGAUAUAAGUGUGGUGUAUGGAGUGCAACAAUCAGAUGUGUGAUAACUCUGUACAUUAGGGACAAUUAUGACACCAAAAGAUUUGAAUUGCCAACAGGUUGGCCAGCAUUUUUCACCAAGCAUAAGAUGGUGAUUGGGUACACAUACUCAUUUGAGUACAACGUUAACACAAAUGUCAUCGGGGUGUAUCUGGUCCACGAUGUAGUUGAUGACAAUUAAUGUGAUUUUUGAGUACCUCAUCUAGUAGUUUAGUAUUUUACCCCAUGCUAUAGUGUUUUUACAUUUUAAAUAAAUUGAGUUUCUAUUAAUAUAUACAAAUUGUUUUGUUUUUUAUGUAAUACUAUGAGCUUUGACUAUUAUUCGUUUAUUGAACUAUAUGGUGUGUGAAUGAAUAGGAUGUCUUUCAAAAGUAUCAUAAUAGGCUAUUGGGCUAGUGAAUGAUAAAUAUUAACAAUAGAAGGGCUUAAAUGCAUUUAACUUUACUUCUAGAAAAUUACAAAGUAGUACAUUGUAAAUUAACAAAAAAAACAUUUAAAUAACUACGUGGCACUUUGUUUGUAAUUAUAUACAAAUAUUAUGACACAAUUUUAAAUAAUAAUUAUCAUCACGUAUAUACAUAAUAAUAUAUAUUCAUUUAGAAUUUUUUUGUAUAAACAGCUAACAUAUCACAUUGUAAUCUGACGGUGUGUGUGUUUAUGUGUGUGUAUGUGUUAUACUUCAAUUUGAAGGCUGUGUGUGUUUGAGAAGAUCAGUAGCGUAUAUAUAUAUAUAUAUAUAUAUAUCAGAUCACAAUAAUAUAUGAACGGUGGUGUGUGUGUUUGUGUGUGUGUGUUAUAUUUCAAUUUGAAGGGUUAAGGGCAAGUUGUAAAUAUGUCACAUUAUUUUAAUAGGGAUGUUGAAGAUCAGGGAAUGAAAUGAUAAUACCUAAACUUUACACAAUCAUAUUAAAAUUAUUUUUAAUUGCAAACUGGCCCUGACACAUUUCGAAAUGUACAUAACUUUUGGGAGGUAAUUGCAAUUUUAGAAGUUGCAUUUGGAAACAAUAAUUCUUCUUCUAAAACCGGAUUCCUCACCCCUCGAACAUAUUUCACUUGCCAUCAGAAUACAUAUGAGCGAAAUUGAAACGAAUCCGAACCUGCAGUCAAACCAAACCAAAACCAUACUAAACCGAAGCAUUGCAAACCAAAUCCGAACCGAAUCAAAUAUGAUACUGAAUACUCACAUGAUCUAUUGUAUCGCUUAAUUUGUUCACUGUAUAUUGUUGCAAACUAACAUCAUAUUGAAAGGAAUAUAGAAUAUUUUUCCCAUGAAAUAAACAAAUGCCAUUAAUGUCAAAGUACCAAACAUAACAUAAAAACAGAUCGAAAAUAUCGAGACCAAUGUAGCACCUUAAAAUGAAAUAGAAAAAACAAAAAAUGUCGUAAUAAACGAAACGAUUCAAAUGUGAAAGAACCAAAUGGAAUGUGUGCAAUAUUUUUAAUAUCGAGAGAAUUUCGUCGGCCGUCCAGUAAACGAAUUAGGCAGUAUCAUACGACCUUGCAACGGCAAAACAUUCGCCUCUCCGUUCAAAACCGUGUAUGACAAUUCCUUACAAUUCCCAAACACCAAUUCUUUGUUAUGCAAACCAUCGUCUGUCAAUCGGGACGAUUCAAUCAUAUUAAAAGUAUAAGCGAGGUACAUGUCUUUCCUAAACCCAUCGAACGUAGCUUUCGAGAGGAUAUUCAUCUGAAAAAUAUAAUAAAAUUUAAAUAUUAAUUAGUAAGAAAAACAAAAUAAAACAUAUUGGUAAAAUCAUGAGAUAAAGAUGAUAACGAAAGAACUAAAUAACAACAUUUGCAAAAAAUCAAGAAAACCUAAUACCAAAAAGGAGCCGAUUUUAUCAAAACAAAAUGCACAUAACCAUACGUUUUUUAUCGAAUGAAAAUUGAUGGUGGAAUAAAGUGAAUCGGUAGGGGGUUUAUAUACUUAUAUAUGAUCAAUGAAAAAAGAAACAAUCCAUUACAUUUGGUAAUAAUAUAAAAAACAANNNNNNNNNNNNNNNNNNNNNNNNNNNNNNNNNNNNNNNNNNNNNNNNNNNNNNNNNNNNNNNNNNNNNNNNNNNNNNNNNNNNNNNNNNNNNNNNNNNNNNNNNNNNNNNNNNNNNNNNNNNNNNNNNNNNNNNNNNNNNNNNNNNNNNNNNNNNNNNNNNNNNNNNNNNNNNNNNNNNNNNNNNNNNNNNNNNNNNNNNNNNNNNNNNNNNNNNNNNNNNNNNNNNNNNNNNNNNNNNNNNNNNNNNNNNNNNNNNNNNNNNNNNNNNNNNNNNNNNNNNNNNNNNNNNNNNNNNNNNNNNNNNNNNNNNNNNNNNNNNNNNNNNNNNNNNNNNNNNNNNNNNNNNNNNNNNNNNNNNNNNNNNNNNNNNNNNNNNNNNNNNNNNNNNNNNNNNNNNNNNNNNNNNNNNNNNNNNNNNNNNNNNNNNNNNNNNNNNNNNNNNNNNNNNNNNNNNNNNNNNNNNNNNNNNNNNNNNNNNNNNNNNNNNNNNNNNNNNNNNNNNNNNNNNNNNNNNNNNNNNNNNNNNNNNNNNNNNNNNNNNNNNNNNNNNNNNNNNNNNNNNNNNNNNNNNNNNNNNNNNNNNNNNNNNNNNNNNNNNNNNNNNNNNNNNNNNNNNNNNNNNNNNNNNNNNNNNNNNNNNNNNNNNNNNNNNNNNNNNNNNNNNNNNNNNNNNNNNNNNNNNNNNNNNNNNNNNNNNNNNNNNNNNNNNNNNNNNNNNNNNNNNNNNNNNNNNNNNNNNNNNNNNNNNNNNNNNNNNNNNNNNNNNNNNNNNNNNNNNNNNNNNNNNNNNNNNNNNNNNNNNNNNNNNNNNNNNNNNNNNNNNNNNNNNNNNNNNNNNNNNNNNNNNNNNNNNNNNNNNNNNNNNNNNNNNNNNNNNNNNNNNNNNNNNNNNNNNNNNNNNNNNNNNNNNNNNNNNNNNNNNNNNNNNNNNNNNNNNNNNNNNNNNNNNNNNNNNNNNNNNNNNNNNNNNNNNNNNNNNNNNNNNNNNNNNNNNNNNNNNNNNNNNNNNNNNNNNNNNNNNNNNNNNNNNNNNNNNNNNNNNNNNNNNNNNNNNNNNNNNNNNNNNNNNNNNNNNNNNNNNNNNNNNNNNNNNNNNNNNNNNNNNNNNNNNNNNNNNNNNNNNNNNNNNNNNNNNNNNNNNNNNNNNNNNNNNNNNNNNNNNNNNNNNNNNNNNNNNNNNNNNNNNNNNNNNNNNNNNNNNNNNNNNNNNNNNNNNNNNNNNNNNNNNNNNNNNNNNNNNNNNNNNNNNNNNNNNNNNNNNNNNNNNNNNNNNNNNNNNNNNNNNNNNNNNNNNNNNNNNNNNNNNNNNNNNNNNNNNNNNNNNNNNNNNNNNNNNNNNNNNNNNNNNNNNNNNNNNNNNNNNNNNNNNNNNNNNNNNNNNNNNNNNNNNNNNNNNNNNNNNNNNNNNNNNNNNNNNNNNNNNNNNNNNNNNNNNNNNNNNNNNNNNNNNNNNNNNNNNNNNNNNNNNNNNNNNNNNNNNNNNNNNNNNNNNNNNNNNNNNNNNNNNNNNNNNNNNNNNNNNNNNNNNNNNNNNNNNNNNNNNNNNNNNNNNNNNNNNNNNNNNNNNNNNNNNNNNNNNNNNNNNNNNNNNNNNNNNNNNNNNNNNNNNNNNNNNNNNNNNNNNNNNNNNNNNNNNNNNNNNNNNNNNNNNNNNNNNNNNNNNNNNNNNNNNNNNNNNNNNNNNNNNNNNNNNNNNNNNNNNNNNNNNNNNNNNNNNNNNNNNNNNNNNNNNNNNNNNNNNNNNNNNNNNNNNNNNNNNNNNNNNNNNNNNNNNNNNNNNNNNNNNNNNNNNNNNNNNNNNNNNNNNNNNNNNNNNNNNNNNNNNNNNNNNNNNNNNNNNNNNNNNNNNNNNNNNNNNNNNNNNNNNNNNNNNNNNNNNNNNNNNNNNNNNNNNNNNNNNNNNNNNNNNNNNNNNNNNNNNNNNNNNNNNNNNNNNNNNNNNNNNNNNNNNNNNNNNNNNNNNNNNNNNNNNNNNNNNNNNNNNNNNNNNNNNNNNNNNNNNNNNNNNNNNNNNNNNNNNNNNNNNNNNNNNNNNNNNNNNNNNNNNNNNNNNNNNNNNNNNNNNNNNNNNNNNNNNNNNNNNNNNNNNNNNNNNNNNNNNNNNNNNNNNNNNNNNNNNNNNNNNNNNNNNNNNNNNNNNNNNNNNNNNNNNNNNNNNNNNNNNNNNNNNNNNNNNNNNNNNNNNNNNNNNNNNNNNNNNNNNNNNNNNNNNNNNNNNNNNNNNNNNNNNNNNNNNNNNNNNNNNNNNNNNNNNNNNNNNNNNNNNNNNNNNNNNNNNNNNNNNNNNNNNNNNNNNNNNNNNNNNNNNNNNNNNNNNNNNNNNNNNNNNNNNNNNNNNNNNNNNNNNNNNNNNNNNNNNNNNNNNNNNNNNNNNNNNNNNNNNNNNNNNNNNNNNNNNNNNNNNNNNNNNNNNNNNNNNNNNNNNNNNNNNNNNNNNNNNNNNNNNNNNNNNNNNNNNNNNNNNNNNNNNNNNNNNNNNNNNNNNNNNNNNNNNNNNNNNNNNNNNNNNNNNNNNNNNNNNNNNNNNNNNNNNNNNNNNNNNNNNNNNNNNNNNNNNNNNNNNNNNNNNNNNNNNNNNNNNNNNNNNNNNNNNNNNNNNNNNNNNNNNNNNNNNNNNNNNNNNNNNNNNNNNNNNNNNNNNNNNNNNNNNNNNNNNNNNNNNNNNNNNNNNNNNNNNNNNNNNNNNNNNNNNNNNNNNNNNNNNNNNNNNNNNNNNNNNNNNNNNNNNNNNNNNNNNNNNNNNNNNNNNACACAAUUUCUACACACACACACACAUUAUGGUUUUGCACACACACACACUCAUACACACACACACACUAUUUUACGCACACACACACACACGCAUACGCACACAAUUUCUACACACACACACUGUGUUACACACACACACACACACACACACACACACACACACUAUUUUAUGCACACACACUGUGUUACACACACACACACACUAUUUUACGCACACACACACACACUCAUAUACACUUUUAAUUAAAAUAAUAUUUUGACUUUUUUUUGUGAGAAAAUUGUUUUGGUAUUUAAUUGGGUUUUGAUUGGAUCCAAUAUGAUCCACUUUAUUUUGUGGUUAAACUUUUAAUGGAUUCAAAGUGGAUCCACAUGGAUCCAGUUUUAAAAAAAUAUCAACUGGAUCGGAUCCGAUUUAUUUCAACUAAACUUAAUCUAAACCGGAUCCUUAUGAACCGAACCGGAUCUAAUCGGAUCCAUGGAACCGGAUCCAAAUUGCCACCCCUAAUUCUUAUUUCCUAAUUAUAUAUCAUAAUUAAUACAAGAUGUGUGAACCGAAUUUGUGCGGUGAGAAGAAAUAAAAGAUGUGUGAACUGGAAUUGGAAGUUAUAAUUAAUUAAGUAGCACACCUCUUAACACCACCAAUUGAUGUGUAAAUUAAUUUUAGGGCAAAUGACAAAAAAGUUCAUCACAUGGGAUUUAAAUGCAUUUUGGUCCAUAAAAAAAAAACAGUUUCUCAAUUAAACUCAUUCACAUGUCUUUAGUCUGAAAUACCCUCCAUAAUAUAAUUCUUAUCAAUUCCACCCAUUAUGCUCUAACUUCCUUAAUAUUACUCAUUGACCCCAGAUUUAAACAAAUAUAUUACAUUAACCCCCAAUUUUUUUUUUCAGAAAAUAAUUUUUUUUCUGAAAUGUUUUUUUUCCGGCCAGAUUCCGGCGUUGACCGCCGGAGACCGGCGGUCUCCGGCAUUGACUUUUUUUUUUUUUUUUUUUGAAAACUUUUUUUUUUUCUUGAAAUUUUUUUCCGGCCGGUCAACCACCGUUGACCGCCGGUCUCCGGCGUUGACUUUUUAUUUUUUGAAUUUUUUGUUUUCUUAGAAAUAAAUAUUUUAAUUAAUAUUACUAUCUUGACUACUAAAUUACUGUCUCAGACAGUAAUAUUACGGUUUGGGACAGUAAUAUUAUGAAUAUUAUUUUCCCGAACAGUAAUGUUAUUGUCUAACACAUUUAAAUUACUGUUGGAGACAUUAAUUUAGCAGCCAAUGCAGUAAUAUUAAUUAAAAUAAUUUUUUUUAAGAAAAAAAAAAGUUAAAAAAAAAAAAGUCAAUUAACAGUUAAAUUACUGUCUCCGACAGUUCAAUAACUGCUGGAGACAGUAAUUUAGCAACGAAUACAAUAAUAUUAAUUAAAAAUAUUUUUUAAGAAUAAAAAAAUAACUGCUGGAGACGGUAAUUUAGCAACGAAUACGGUAUUAUUAAUUAAAAUAUUUUUUAAAAAAAUCAAUUAACAAUUAAAUUACUGUCUUUGACAGUUAAAUAACUGCUAGAGACAGUAAUUUAGUAGCAUAGACAAUAAUAUUAAUUAAAAUAUUUUUGAAACAAAAAAAAAAAUCAAUUACUGUUAAAUUACUGUCUCCGACAGUUAAAUAACUGCCGGAGACAGUAAUUUAGCAGCCAUGACAGUAAUAUUAAUUAAAAUAUUUUUUUAAGAAAAAAUAAAAUUAUAUAAAAAAAAAAUCAACGCUGGAGACCGCGGUCAACGAUAGUUGACCGGCCGGAAAAAAAUUUCUGGGGAAAAAAAGUUUUCCAAAAAAAAAAAAAAAAAAAAGUCAACACCGGAGACCGGCGGUUUCCGGUGGUGGCGGGUCAAAAUUGGAAUUAGGGUUAAAAUUGGUUAAUUGAUUAAAUUGGGCUAAAUUGUGGUGUAAAUCAUGAAAUUAGAGUUGAAUUGGGUUUCAAUGAAUUGGGGGUAAUUUUGGUAUAUAUAAAGGGAUUUUCCUUAUUUUCAAAUAAGUUUGAAUGAGUUGGAUUUAUUUGAAAGACAAAAAAGUUGGAUGUCCCUCUUUUAAUUAAGUGUCUUUCUCAUGGGCCUAUUUGUCAUUUACCCUUAAUUUUAUGUAUUUACAGCAUAUUCGUUGUUUAUUUUUUUGUUGAAACAUUGUUAUCAGCAGACGCGACUUAUUUACACAUUGCAUAAAGAUCCCUCCUUAUAUCCACAUUGCAUAAAGAUCCUUCUUGGAGGAACUUAUUCUCUUCUUUCUUAUACACAAAAUAAUUUCUCAACAUCUUAUGGGCCUAUGUCAAAAAGGGUAUAAGAAGAGAAGCCCAGUCCAUUUGUUAUUUAUUUUUAUUUUAUAUUAAGGGAGUAAAAUGAUACAAUUGGCAUAGUUUAGGGGAUAUUUAAUAAUUGACAAAGUUUAUAGGUACUUGAUGCGUAUACUACAGUUCUAUGAGUUAUGACUACAAAAUACUUAGGCCCCGUUUGGUUGCCAAGAUAAGCCAUGAUUAACUAAAUAGUUGGACUUAAUUUGAUGUUUGGUAUUUUCAAUAAAUUAUCGGGUCCAAAAUUAUAUAAUCAUGGUUUAUCUUGGCUUCUAAUGAGUUUUUUUUUUUUGGACAUUUCAAGCUCCAAUAAAAUAGUUGGGUUUCAUUAGAUUAUUUAAUCUUAUCUUGACAACCAAACGGGGCUUAAACGAUUAUAUAGUAGUAAUAUCGAAUAUUAUUAUUGUUGCUGAUUCAAAGUGAAAAUUUCAUAUUCAACAUAUUUGACAUUUCUUUACACAAUGCUAGUCGUUGACAUUUUUUUUGGUGUAGUUGUUUUUAGCAAAAGGUUUAUAAGUGGUAUAGCAUGUUUGAUUCUCAUUUACAUCUCUCUCUCUCUCUCUCUCUCUCUCUCUCUCUCUCUCUCUCUCUCUCUCUCUCUCUCUCUCUCUCUCUCUCUCUCUCUCCCUCUCUCUCUCUCCCUCUCUCUCUCUCUCUCUCUCUCUCUCUCUCUCUCUCUCUCUCCGAACAAAUUUUUUGUUUUAUGAAAUUCUUAAUUAGUAUAUUUCAGUAUUAUAGAUCAUAGUACGAGAUGGCUGAUGGAGAUGAGGAUAUUAAACCCCUUGUUAUCGAUAAUGGCUCUCACACGAUCAAGGUCAGCGUUGACUAUUUAUCUUGUUUCCUAAUUCCUAAAUCAUCCAAAACUGUACUAGAUGCACUAAUGUGUGUGUGUGUGUGUGUGUGUGUGUGUGUGUGUAUGUGUGUGUGUGUGUGUGUCUAUAGGCUGGUUUUGCAGGUGAUGAUGCACCAAGGGUAGUCAUCCCUACCGUAAUCGGAUAUCCCCGUCAUCCAAUUUUGACGGGGCGAGAAGAUUUUUACGUCGGAGACGAAGCUCAAUCUAAAUGUGAUAUUCUUAAACUGAAACAUCCAAUCGAACGCGGUGUCGUUAAUAAUUGGCAUGACAUGGAGAAAAUUUGGCAUAACAUGUUCUACAACGAGCUUCGUGUCGAUCCUGCAGAGCGCCCUGUUCUUCUCACUGAAAUACCUAACAACCCUUUGUUGAAGAGAGAGAAAAUGACUGAAAUCAUGUUCGAGACCUUCAAUGUGCCAGCUAUGUAUGUUGCUAUCCAGGCUGUCCUUUCACUCUAUGCUACUGGUCGUACAAAGGGUACGUAUGUGCGUGUGUGUGUGUGUGUGUCUAUAUAUAGUCUCAUUGUAAAAUAUAUCAUGUUGCAACCUAAUUAUUUAAUUAUACUGAGUAUAUAUAGGUUUAGUGAUCGAUUGUGGUGAUGGUGUGACCAAUGUUGUUCCCGUUUACGAGGGAUAUGCAAUUAAGGAAGGCAUUCUGCAGCCUCUCUAUUUUGCUGGUGGUGACAUCACUGAUUAUCUAAUGAAAAUUUUGGCUGACGAGAGAGGUUACAUGUUUAUGACGAGUGGGGAACGAGAAAUUGUGCGUGACAUAAAGGAGAAACUUGCUUACGUGGCACUGGAUUUCACCAGGAAUUGGAGAAUGCUAAGAAUAGCUCUGAUCAGAUAGAGAAGAUAUACGAGCUGCCAGAUGGACAACUUAUUACGGUGGGUUCCGAGAGGUUCCGUUGCGCUGAAGUUUUGUUCCAACCUUGGCUGAUCGGAAUUGAAGGUUCUGGAAUUCACGAGGCGAUUUAUAAGUCGAUCGUGAAGUGCAAUGUGGAUGUAAGGAAGGGUCUUUGUGGUAACGUUGUGCUAAGUGGUGGAUCCACUAUGUUUCCCGGUAUUGCGGAUCGUUUGUGCAAGGAAAUAGAGGCGCUUUAUCGGAGCAGCGUGAAGAUUAAGGUUGUUGCACCACCUGAGAGAAAGUGCAAUGUUUGGAUCGGAGGAUCAAUUCUUGCAUCCCUCACUACUUUCCAGCAGGUUUGUGCACUUUUUUUUGCUUUAUAUAUAUAUAUAUAUAUAUGUGUGUGUGUGUGUGUGUGUGUUGUUUUGUUGUGGUUGUUGUAAUAUAGUUGGGACAAUAUUUUUUUAUUUUUUUUUAAUAUGUGCAGAUGUGGGUCUCAAAGGGAGAGUAUGAGGAAUUUGGUGGUGCAAUUGUGCAUAGGAAGUGUUCCAUGUAAUAAGUUUCCCUGAAUUAUAUGUUUCUUAAUUACCAAUUAAUUUAGUGACUGAUAUUUCUUCAGCUGUGAUUGUGAGUUGAAUUUGAGUGGUGAUUUAUUUAAAAAGAAGUGUGCAAAUUUAGACCGGAUGGCCUGUUUUAAUAGAAAAAUCGGAUGCCCAUAGAAUGAUUGACACGUGGAUAGUUUAAAUAAAAAUAUAAUUAAGAUUCUAAUAAUUGGAAAAAAAGAAACAAAAAAAGAAAAAAGAAAACCCCAGCAUAAUCCGUAACCCGUCUAACCCUAAUUAUGCGUGAUAUAUUAAGAGUUAUGACUUAAGAGUGCCACAUGUCAAAAAAUUAGUGGAAUCCGAUUUAUAUUAAAUAUCGGUUGAUCCGCUCAGAAUUUAAUCUCUAAAAAGAAUUGUGUGAAGUUGUAUCAAGAAUUCAAAGUACAUUUGUGAAGUGUAAAUUAAUUAUAAUUUUUUUGCAACAUACACUCAAACUCUAUAAAUUAAUACUAUUAGAACUAACAAAAUUAUAUUAAUUUAGUCAAAUAUUAAAUUAUCGAAUUAAUAAUUUUGUACGUUUUUAUCGGUCCCGGAAUCCUCCUAUUUUGGUGUCGGGUUAUGGGCCUAAUGGCUGCGGGACUUCUUCAUCUCUUCUUUCUUGUCGACAAAAUAAUUUCUCAACAUUUUAUGGGCCUAAGCCCAAGACGUUAUGAGAAGAGAAGCCCAGUUCGUUUGUUAUUUUAUUUUAUUAUUUUCUUUUAUGGGGGUUUCAAAAUUAUUAAUGAUUAAAAUAAUAAAAAUUUACUAAUAUAUAUAUAUGUUCAAUGUAAACUUUUCAUAUUAUACAUUUCUUUACACUAUAAUGCUCUAGUUGACAUUGCUGAUUCUCAUAAACCAUCUGUCUCUCUCUCUCUCUCUCUCGUACAACUUUUGACAUUAUCUGCUGCUAAUUACAGACAGGAUCAUAUAAUUGGCUCCAAGCCUCCAAUCAAAGGUGACUUAAAAAAAUAUAUAUCUAAUCUAAAAAUCUUUAUUGCUUCAAUUUUAUUUCCUAAUAAUGAUAUUUUAUUUUUAUAGUCAUAAAUAAUAAAAGAAAAUGGCUGAUGGAGAAGAUGAUAUUAAUCAAUCACCCCUUGUUAUUGAUAAUGGCACUCACAUGAUGAAGGUAAUUUUUAUUGUGCUUCCUAAAUAUUCAUCGAAUAUUCUGCAACGUGUAUAUAUUAUCGACCGUACGUUUUCUGUUUUUUCUGAAGAAAAAAAAAAAUCAUCGAAUAUCGCUUGGUCGUGUCCUGUACAUACUAUACAGGGUGGCUUUGCUGGAGAUGAUGCACAACCGGUACGUAUGCGUGUGCGUGUAUAUAUGGCAUCAUUGUAAUAUAUAUAUAUAUAUAUCUAUAGGGUAAAUUACAACCACCCGUGAGAUAUGAUUAAAUUACGAAAACUCCCCUCAUGUUUGGUUAAUUACAACCACCCCUCAAUUAUCAAAUUUAGUGGAAUUUUUGAGAUUAUAUAGAAUAUUAUCACUUUUGUACUCGUUUUAUCCCAUUCAAACUCGACAUUCUGAAGCAAGAUGAUCAUAAUAUGUGUUUUUUGGCUUGUAUAUAUCAGAUCGUAGUGCAUCAGAAACUGUAUUUUUACACAAAACGAGUACAAACUAGAGCACAUUCCACGAAAUCUAGAUGAUUAUGUUGAAUUUGACACCAUAAGGGUGGAGGUGUAAGAAAAAAUCAUAGUUGAAUGGGGUAGAUGUAAUUAUCCAAACAAGAGGGGUUUUUUCGUAAAUGACCAUACCUCAAGGGGUGGUUGUAAUUUACCCUAUAUGUAUAUCGCAUGUUAUAAUUAAUUUUAUCUAAUUAAACUCGUGAAUAUAGGUGUAGUACUCGAUUUGGGUGAUGGAGUGACCAAUGUUGUUCCGGUUUACGAGGGCCAGACGCUUACGGAAGCUAUUGUGCCGUUGGAUUUUGCUGGUCGUGAUAUCACUAAUUAUCUCGUAAAGCUUUUGGCUGAUGAGAGACGUUACAUGUUCACCACAAGUGCGGAACGGGAAAUUGUGGAUGACAUAAAGGAGAAAAUUGCUUACGUGGCAUUGGAUUUCGAGGAAGAAUCGGAGACUGCUAAUUAUAAUAGUCCAUCUUUCGUGGAGAAGAGUUACGAGUUGCCUGACGGACAAGUUAUUACGGUAGGUCCCGAGAGGUUCCGUUGUGCGGAAGUUCUGUUCAAGCCUUCGUUGAUCGGGGUGGAAGCUUCCGGAAUUCACGAGGCGGUUUAUGGAUCGAUCAUGAAAUGCGAUGUGGAUAAACGGAAGGAUCUUUACGAAAACGUUGUGCUGAGUGGUGGGUCCACUAUGUUUAGCGGUAUUGCGGACCGUUUGGAUAAGGAAAUUACGGGUCUUGCUCCGGGAGGAACGAGGAUUACGGUUGUUGCGCCACCUGAGAGGAAGUACAAUGUUUGGAUUGGUGGCUCAAUAGUCAAUUCUUGCAUCACUCAAUGUUUGUGCAAUUUUAUUGCAAUUUUUGAGGUUGUUCAUACUAAUUAAUAUGAUUUAUGAUUCAAUUUUUUUUUUUCAAUGUGCAGAUUUGGAUUACAAAGGGAGAGUACGAGGAAUCUGGUUAUGAAAUUGUUCACAGGAAGUGUUCCACUAAUGUAUUUGCCUGAAUUAUAUGUUUCUUUAUAAUUAAUUUGUGAUUGAGAUAUUUGUUUUUAAUAAGUUGUUAACUGUGUGGUGAAAAUAAAUACAAUAAAUUAAUUAUUUUUCCCAAAUUAAUAUUUAAUUUGGGAAUUUUUUUUUAUUUAUAAUCAAUUUACAAACUAUUAAUUCUGUUUUUUUUUGUUGGAAACAUUAUGCUUUAAUAUCAGCAGAAGCUAGGUAUUUACUUAUUUAGACAUAACCAAAUUCCUAUGGGCCUAUGUCCAAAAGCCCAGUUCAAUUCCUUAAUAAAGUUAGCAAGUGUUAAAGAUUUGAUAUUAGGGUUUUUUUACUAAGUCCCUAACCAAGCAUCUUUAUUAUUCUAAGUUUAAGAGUUAUAUCUAUUUCAUCAAUAAGCCCAUCCCUUUAAUAUUUACAGUAGAACCUCGAUAAAUUAAUAACCUCGUUAAAAUAAUAAAUUUUCCCGGUCCCGACUCGGGGACAACGUGCUAAAUUAAUAAUUCGCUAAAUUUAUAAAAUAAUACACAUUCGAAAAUUUUAAGAAGCCCCAUAUAAUAUAUAAAUUAAUAAUACAUAAAAAUAAUUCUUAAAUUACAUGGUACAAUACAUAUUUUAUACAUCUAUGAAGGCUUAAUGCAAUAUAAUUUAAUCGACGUUUGUUUCUUGUUGAAGUUCACAUUACCAUCAAUCUCGUUUCUGGCUUUUCCUAACAUGGUUAAAACUUUUGAUAUAGUUUUCUCAUAGCUCAACAGAAAAUUGUUCUAAACCAUUGUUGCUUUAACAACUUCGGUUCGUGAGGGCUCUAUAGUGCAUUGAACUAAUGGUACAAGGAAUAAUAUACACGUAAAAAAAUUAUAAAAAUAUGUAUUUAUUGAAAAUAAUAAUAAAAAUAAUUUCAUAAAUUAAUAAAUUAUUAAUUAAUGAAUAAAUUAAUAAAUUAUUAAUUAAUGUAUAAAUUAAUAAUUAUUAAUUUAUCGAUAAGUUAAUAUUUCGCUAAAUUAAUGAAAUUUUGAUGGUGCCAACUGUAUUAAUUUGUAGAGGUUUAACUGUAUUAUAAAUAAAUGCAACAUUCAUGUAUAUGACAAUAUUACCCCCAACCCUUUAUACCCAAUUCUUAAUUGUAAUCCUAUUUUAAUCAAUUUUGUCCACAAAAAUCCAAUUUUGACUUUUUUUUUUUCAAAAACUUUUGUUGUUUCAAAUAUCUUUUUUGCUGCCAGUUUCCGGCGGUCAACGCCGGUCUCCAGCGUUGACUUUUCGAUUUUUUUCCUUUUUUUUUUCUUCCGGAUUUUUUCGCCGAUUUCCGGCGUUGACUUUUUUUUUUCUUUUACGUGCGCCGCUAAACAUUGAUCGUAAUUGUGCUGUCACUGACAAUAAAUUAACGUAAUUAUACUGUCAAUGAUUGUUAAUUAACGUAAUCGUACUACCGUUGACAAUACAUUUAUGUAAUUGUUCUGCCGUUGACAAUAAAUUAACGAAAUAUUAUUAUUUUUUAUUUUGUUUGAUUUGUUGACAAGUCAACGUAAUUAUAUUACUGUCGUUGGCAGUAAAAUAACUGUAAACACAAUAAUGUAAACACAAUAAUAUUACUGUCAACAACAUCAAUAUUACUAUUUUUUUGGUUUUUUUGUUUUGUUUGAGUCACUCACGGAGUAACGUAAUAAUAUUACUGUCUAUUAUUGUAAUAUUACUGUAAACACAAUAAUAUUACUGUGGUUGACGGUAAUAUUACUGUUGUUAUAGUAAUAUUGUUGUCAACUACAUCAAUAUUAUUAUUUUGUUUGGAUUUUUUUGUUUGUUUGAGUUAUUCACGGAGUAACGUAAUAAUAUUGUUGUCUACUAUUGUAAUAUUACUGUGGUUGACGGUAAUAUUACUGUUGUUAUAGUAAUAUUACUGUCACUCACAGUAAUAUUAAUUCUUUUGGUUUUUUAUUAUGUUUACAUUUGUUGAAGGUCAACAUAGUAAUAUUACUCUAUUACACAACAAUAAUGAGUUUUGUUGUGUUAAUAUUACUGUGCUAGAGAUUAAUACAGCAAUAUUACUGUGUUAAACUGUAGUAUAGUUAAUUUUACUGUGUUUAAUAGUAAUAUAGUUAUUAUUACUGUCAAUCACAACAAUAUUGCUAUUUAAACGAGAAAAAAAAUGUUACAGAAAGAAAGAAAAAAAAAAUCGAAAAAGUCAACGCCGGAGACCGGCGAAAAAAUCCGGAAGAGAAAAAAAAAAAAAAGUCAACGGCGGUGACGGACGAAUUUGUCCAUAAAAUGUGUUUUGGGUCAAAAUUGAAUAAUUUGUGAAAUUUGGGGUCAAAUUGUGGUUAAAUUAAAUUAAGGAUGAAAUUGGAGCAUAUUAAAGUAUGAGGGGGCUAUUUUAGUCUUUUACGAAAAUCUAGGUCAUGUAUGGACUUAGUUAUAAAGGAGUUUAUUGAUCUCUUUAUGAAUAAGUACUCAUUGAUGGGCUUAUUUGUAAUGACCAUUGAUAUUAAAUAUCAUUUUUAUAUAACAUUUCAUAUUCAAUAAUAUUAUAUGAUGUAUAUCAAAUUACAUGAUUUUAUAUCAAAUUAAUUAGUACAACACAACCUAAUACUAAUCACCUGGUCCAAAUGAUGCUUGACAAUGGAGUGUUAAUUACAAUGUUGGUGGCUAUUGUAAUAUUUUUUGUGUAAAUUAGGUAACCCCUGAGAUAAUGUUAAAUUGUGAAAAAAAAAAUCAUGUUUGGAUAUUACAAUCACCCCAUCAACAAUGAAUUUUUAUUACAUGUCCACCUUUGUAGUGUCAAAUUGGAUUUGAAUUGCGAAAUAACUAUUUAAUUCCGAGAAGAGUUAUUAAUGAACAUUGGUGGAAAUAUCGAAAGAAAUUAUAGAAAAAUAAGGAUUUUCUACGAACUCAAAUUGUAUUUGAGUACGAAACAAACUAUAUCUCAAGUGAAACGGCGCAAGGAACAAAACUCAUGAGCAAAGCUCAUGAACCAAGUCAAAUUUCAGCUAGAAAAAUCGUAUUAGGAUUCCGUAAAUUGGGUUGUUCUCAAACUCUAACUCGUUUUUGCCAUUCUGGUUUUUUAGUAUUUUCUUAGUUCAAUUAGAGUUUUCAGUUUUAUUAGUAUAAAUAGCUGCUUAGGACUUUAUUUUCAGAAGAAUUUUGAAUUUUAAUAAAAAUCUUUAGCGUUUACUCUAUUUUCUGGUGGAUUCCCAAUAUUAUUAUGUUCUAUAGGAUUAAUUCAUAGAAAUUAAUUUGUUACCGUGCUUCCGUUCUGCAUCACCAACAGUACAGUGCAAUCCAAUUAUUUGCACUUUUUACACAAUUCGAGGAAAAAACAGAGCUCCAACAACAUUAUGGAAAAAUGGAAAAUUUAACAAAGCCUAACUUUGGUUUCUCAUAUUUGGAAAACCAAAGUUAAAAUUUAACCAAUUGUGCAAAAAUAAAAAACAUAACAACCCAAUCCUUUUAAUCUUCAAAUUUACAGAAAAUCCAAAAUUAAAAUAUGAAAAAAUAUUAAAAUAUAAUGGUUGUUAAAAUUAUAAACAAUGUUGUUGGAGUAUACAUGGAGAAGUAGUGUUGCAUAACACUAUACGUGUGUCAAAUUAAAGAUAUGGACAACCAAUUUUAAAACAACAUAUAAGAAUUAGGGCUGGGACUGGGUUGGGUCGGUCGAUUACCAACCUAAAAACCGACCCAUCCGUCAAACCAUUUUUGCUCAAAUUUGAAAACCAUUGCCGAUCCAACCUUUGUGGGUCGGUUGAUGGUUGGCAACCGAAUAUUUGGUUCCGAAAUGGAUCGGUUGAUGGUUUACAUCCGCCGCCUAGUUCACUUAAAAAAAAUCAAUUUUUGGAGUAAAAAUAUCCACAUUUUGCGUAAUGCCACGGUGCGAUCAUCAUUUAUCAGUUCAAAAUAAUUAAUAACAAUUUAACGAAAAAAUAAAAUUAGGAAAUUCAAAGUAAUUUCAAACAUGCACAAGAGAUUUAGUGGAGUUUUGUGGGCCUUUUGUUGAAGCUUAGGCAUAAAGAAACUGGUUGAAGAUUUAUGAUAAUCUUUUUUUCGAUUGUUUUAAAAUUUAAAAUACUAAUUAUUUUGAUAAUUUCAGUAACCACUUACGAAAACACGGCAUUUGUUUUCUAUUUUAAUAAAAUUUUAUUAGUAUAGUUGGAUAACCGAUAAUUAUCGGUCAACCAACUUUUGAUAAUAUUAGAAACCAUCAACCGACCCAUUAUAGACGGGUUGGUUGAAAUUUUCGACCCGAUCCUAUGGGUCGGUUAAAAAUUGAUUAUCCGCCUAAAAAUAUGGUCGGUAAUGGAUCGGUUGGUGGAUAAAAACCAAUCCAGUCCCAACCCUAAUAAGAAUAAUAGAAUACAUCGGAAUUAUCAUUGAAGGUAAUUCCGAUGCAUAUUUGUCAUAAAAUUCUUGUCAAAAUAUUUAAACAGAAAUAUGAAAAUGAUUCGAAACAACAUUUUCUGAGGGGCAUUUUGUCGAACACCUUAUCCUCAAACCAGUUCCUUAGCAGUUUCCACCUUUCCUUCAUCAACUACUGCAACCUGUUAUUCGAAUGUCACAUCCAUCUGUUACUUUUUCAGAUGAGCCCUCAAUAAUUAUUUUCACAAGGACUACAAAAAAAUAUGGAAUGAAAUUGAUCUAGAAAACAGUCAUACAACAACAGCCAAAGUUCUUUAUUUAGGAUAAAAUCGGAAACAAAAAGGGCGUAAUUUGAAGUACAAUGAUCCUUGGACUUUCCACGUUUCCGUACAAACCUUGCAAGAUCGAUCCCAGCAAAAAAAAAACAAGAAAGUAAUUCUUCAUCAGAGGAUAGUACAGUUGGAUGAGACCUUAGGAUCAGCGGCAGCGGCGGCGGCUGAGGUGUCGCCGGCGGGAUUGACGCCGGGCCAGGCCUUGCACUGGCAGUGUUGACCUUGGGGAAUUCGUUUGUACACCGCCGGAACGUGGCGGCCGCAGCCCUCCCAGCUUCCUUUGCCGCAAUUCGGACAUUUCACUUCGUAACACAUCUUUAUCUUUUUAUUUUCGUCCGGCUUCUUUUUUCCUGGUUUGGGUUCGUAGCACAAGGGCAAAUUGGAUUCGAUUGGGAAUAUUUGUGGGUCAAUUUACUUUUAUAUUCGCGUCAAGGAAGAAUACCUCUACAUUCAAUAAUAUACAGCUAGAACAAGGCCAAUUUGGAACUACCGAAAUUGCCCUCAACUUUCCGACAAAAUUCCUCUUUCUUUAUGGACGGAUUUACUAGUCUAUUGGAUUAUCCGCAAAUUGUGAACAAGUCCAUCGGCUCAGACUCGGGUGGUGUUUGCAAACCCUUCUAAAUAAGCAUAAUUUAGUGAUUCUGAUUUAAGUUUAGGAUAAGUGUAUAUUCUUAAAAGUAGGCGGUGUUUGCAAAUAUUAAAAAAAUCAACUUGAAACACCCAAUAGAAAAGUUGUACUGUUUGCAAAAUAAAAUUUAAUUUUCAGUUUUUUUUGUUUUUUAAAUGUCUUAAAUACCCAAAUUAAGUACAAACUCAUUUUUGCAAUGAAACCUUCAUAGUCCGAUUUAUAGCCUUGUUGUUCUAUACUACAAUUGCUACAGCUAAACAAGUGUAAAGUAAAACGAUUUAAAAAAAAAUUCAUAUUUUCUCCAAUUCAUACCUUCUGCAAACAAAACAAAACAGAAAAGAUAAACUCAAAAGAAAAACGUGAGGAAUUUCACGUCAAGAAAAAAACAUCUCAACAUUACAAAAAAUAAAAUAAGUAUAAAUAAUAAUAAUAAUAAUAAUAAUAAUAAUAAUAAUAAUAAUAAUAAUAAUAAUAAUAAUUAUUAUUAUUAUUAUUAUUAUUAUUAUUAUUAUUAUUAUUAUUAUUAUUAUUAUUAUUAUUAUACUGUUAGAAAUUAUUUCGUGCAUAUUAAAUUAUUUGUGUCAGAUUCAGUUUUUCGUUACUGUUGCGUGAAUUGUUGCAACAGUUCGUGAAGCAGUUCGUAAAAACAGAAAUAAACGAGACACAAAUUUAAUGUGGUUCGGAUACAAUUGUACCCUACAUCCACGGGGACCUGCAAAUGAAAUUUAUUAAUUUUAAGUUUUACGAAUACAAUAUUAGGACUUAAUCAAAAUACAAAGACUCCCUCUUUGUUGACGCCGUUCUUGUAUACUACGCUGAAUUAUAAAUCUUCAAUUUGCAGCACGUCCAUUGCUCCGCACGGUUGAACUCCCUUCAACGCUGAAUCCCUCAGUCGGCGGAUCGACCUCCUCCCGAGAUCUGUUUAAGCCCCUCUCCCGAAGAACCGAUCUUCUUUUUAUAUAGAAGAAGCAAACUUGUGAGACUCCUUGAAUCUUGGUGUCUUCACCACAAAGCCUUGAAGCCGGUAUAUUUUCUAUUCUUUUUAUACAGAAGAAUCAAACUUGUGAUACUCCUUGAAUCUUGCUGUCUUCACCACAAAGCCUUGAAGCCGGUAUAUUUUCUAUGAAAAUCACGUAUCACGAUGGAGCAACAAAAACGAGAGAAAAUAAUAUUUUCUAUGUGAAUUUUUCUCUCGAUAAAAAUAACUCCGGAAGAGCAACAAAGAAAAGAGAAAUAUUUUUCUCUCCAAAAAGGCACGCCGCAGUAAUGUGUCUUUGCUUCUCUUUUAUAAGCCUGAUAAAGAAUCCUACAAAAGACCAACAUCAAAAUACGUAUCAGGCUUAUUAGGAAUAAACCUUAUCAAAAGAUAUUAAGUCUUAGUCAAACACUAAUUUCCAAAAGAAUUUGUAUUCUAUUGAAAUACAAAUUCUGUAUAAACCAAAAUAGCUAAUUUAUGAAAUAAAUAUAUAAAUCAAUUAAUGACAAUUUAGCAAACCAAAACUUGGAAAAUAAAUAUAUUCUUCCCUUUAAUCAUGAUACACGGCUGUGUGUAUUCUCAAGGAAGAAAAACUUUAUUUCCAAGUCACAUGGUAUUAAGGAAUCCCAAUUUCUUAGAAUUCUCCAUGGUUUCUCUUAUGUAGAAUCUAACUAGAUUCUAACAAUCUCCCCCUUUGUCAUUUAUUGAUUAUAAUCAUUUUCUCCCCCUGAGUAAAAAACCUGAAAAUAAAACAAUCAGAUGAAAGACGAAAGUAAUAAAACUAAGGAUCAUCCUCAGCAUUAAAGGAACAACCAACAACAAGAGUGGCAUCAACUGCUGCAAUAGCAAGUGCCACAGUUUCAACAACUGUUCCAACAGUAGUGGCUUCGGCAGGUGGUUCACAAUGGAGUCAGCUUCCCAUGCAUGUGUUUCUCCCCCUGUAGAUGAUCCUUGGGCAACUCCUCUUGUAAAUGACUUCAUUAUUCCCUUUUGCUUACUUGGCUUGGUAGACUUGGAUGGCGGUGGAGGGCGACGUGGUAAAUCAUCCACGUGAUAACAGACUCAACAAGUAACGCCAGCAUUAACGCUCUCUUUUUAUAUUCUUGUGAAGACCUAAACCAAUUAAUGACAAUAAACACAAUAUUAAAAAGGUGAAAUUCUUUCUAUAUUGGAUAUACAUGUUUAGGUGAUUAAUAUGGAGAGAUAAUUUAUUUUUUCUCAAAUUAUCUAAUGAGAUAACUAAGGAAAAUAUGUUCAUCAUAUUAAUACACAUCUCCAUAGAAUUCCACUUGGUGUUGUGGACUUAGAAUCCCACUGAGAUUCUAACACUCUCCCCCUUUGGCAUUGAUUGGUCAGAACAUUUACUCCCCCUAAAUAUAUGGUACCUGCAUGAGCAAGGGUUAGCAAAUUCAGAAUAACAUCUGCAAAUAAUUAAACUGUUGCAACAGUUCAUCAAACUGUAUAAGCUCUUAGCAAAAACAGCUUAGGAAAGCAGAUAGGUAAAAUUGUUCAAUUAAGCAGGGAACAAAAAAAAAAAAUGCAGUAGCAGAAUCAACUUCCCUUUACAAUGAAUUCCUCCUUAAAUGACCUCCUCCUUGAAUGACCUCCUAUUUUUUUUAUUGUUCCAGAAACUGUCGGAUGAACUGUCUCAACAGUUGUCUGAACUCCCCCUGUAUUCCAGUACUGUUCCAGCAAUUGUAUAGUGCACUGUGGCAACAGUUGUUUGAACUCCCCCUGUGUUCAUGCCAACUUUACUGUUCUUUUUCAUUUCUCCCCCUUUCUGGGCAAUCACCAUGCAUAGAUAAAUCAACAUGGACUAAUCAUCUUGAUGUGUCGAGCAAUCUGUUCAAACACUUAACAAAAAGAUCAAACGGAGAGAGAAUCUUGAAAGUAAGUGAGAAGAAUCACCAUACAUAACGUGCACACAAAAUCACAAACUCACAAACUCAAAACCACACGAUAAUUGCAAUGCGAAAAUCAAAGAAUUGUGAUAUCAAAUCCAACAUUAAAUAACAAAGACUACAGACUUUGCCAAACUUCAUACGAAACAUGGAAAUGUGAUGAGUAAGCUCAAUAGAUCCGGCUGCAACAAAAAAAUUAAAUUUAACCGGCACAUAAACAAAAAUCCCGUCUUUUUUUUUUUGUUUUAAAAUAAUGCCUAAUGCAAGACAAGAAGUAAACAUGAGAAAUAAACAUGAGUGAAGAGACAUAUGUGAAUAGGAUACAGCAUGGACAAACAAAACAUAUGGGAUUUAUCUUCACAUUCACGAUAAAUGCAAUCCCCAAAAAUCCGACUGCCAAUGCAACCAAUAAACUUAAUAAUCCCAAGUCAAACACAAAGAUGCUCUUAUUAGGUAGCGUACACACACGUCUAAUGGUAGCUUUUUCCCAUGAAAAACAGAGCAAUUAAAAGGAACGGGAUUAUGGUGGUCGUGCAAUGUGUAGUCCCCUGGGCUUUCUAAUUGAGCCAUGUAGCGAGCUUUCGGCCAUGUGAUUUACUGACUCGACUCAAAAAGGCUUCGAACUAUUCACUGACCAAAUGGUUGUAGAUAUAUAUAUUUGUAACAGUAGUUCAAGAGUAGCUUUCACUCAUUAAAAGAUGCAGCUUUUCCCUAUAUAAACAUCCAACCAUGACAAGACUAUUCAGAGAAAUAAAUAAGUUGGAGCCUUUUAAGUAAUCAUUUUGGGAAUUGGUGAAGUUCUACCCCCACAAAGUUUAGAAGUACACGAAGUAUCAAAUUCACAUUUGUCUCAAUCAUAUGCAGUAUGCUUAAUGCAGGUCCUAUAUGAGAUGCAAAAACAUAUGAAGUGUCCUACCACAAAAAGUUGCAAGUCUGGACACAAAGACUGUUGCAACAGUUCAUGCAACUGCAUCAGAUUAAACAACAUAAAUUCCCAGCAAUUUUCGCAAGGAAUCAAAUCUCUGUGCAUCAAGGGUUUUUGCAAAAGCAUCAGUUAAUUCAUUCUCCGUUGCAGCAUAAUCAAUUGAGACAACCCCCUUUUCGACCAAGUCCCUUAUGAAACGAUGACAAAUAUCAGUAAGCUUAGUUCUCGAAUGUUGAAUUGGAUUCAUAAACUUAUUUUUCGCACACAAAUUAUCACAAUUCAGAUUACCAAAGUUUUUAUUCCCCAAACUAGUUUUGUCACCAGAACUGUUGGAACAGUUAGUACUAUCAUCACAUGAUUUUAAAGAAGUAAUGGCAGAUAAACAAUUAAGAUCAGACUUCUUUACCCAGAUUUUUUGUUGAGUUUUAUUCACUAAAUCAACCUUUAUCUUGGGUUUUUGAGACGACACAAAAGUGUGAUCAAUUUUAGCGGAAAGUGGUGAGCGGGCCAUUAUUCUUUUAACCAUUUUCAAGUACUUAAAACACCUAGGUCGUAUAUGACCAGGAACAUGACAAAAAUGACAGGUAGGGACAAAACGUUUUCUUUGAGAUGACUGUGUUGAUGCAACUGUCGCAACAGUUUGUGACACAGUGGAUUGUUUAACAAAAUUGAUUUUUCUUUUUGAAUCUUCUUUCUGUUUCAAUGCAUCAUUAGAUAGCUGAUUACCCCUUAAACCUAUACGACUAUAGUUCGGCUGAUUUUUGUUCAAAAUUUCAUUCAAAGUUACUCUACCAGUAUUAAACUUAGAAAUAACAUCUUGGGUUUGAACAAAUUUAGCCUUCAAACUAUCUGAUUCUCUACUAGCCGAAAUAGCAUUUUGUUCAAGAGUAGAAAUUCUUACCUUCAACACUUUGUUUUCCUCGAUUAGGACAAGCUUCUCUUUUUCUAAGAAUUUAUUCGACUCGCAUACCUGAAGCAAUUUUUCGUACAUCCUUUCGUAGCACUUCUUUAAUUCUUCCAAGGUUGUCUCGUCAUCAUCACUAAUGUUUUCUGAAUCCCCAUCAUCACCUGCAAGAAUAAAGGGAGUUAAACCGCUGUCAUCUAUUGAAGGCAAAUUAUCAUACCUGAGUUCUGUUUGAACUGUCUGUCCAACUACUGCAACAGUUUCAGCAGCAGUCUCUUUGCACUUGCUUAUCAGAGUAGUUCCUUCGUAGGUCUCUUGUAGAACAUCCCAUGCCUCCUUUGCUGAUUUGCACAUUGAUAUCAAUUUGAAUUGUUCGUCAUCGAUACAACUCAAGAUAGCAUUGGUUGCCUUGGAAUUAUAAUCUGCCAUUCGUACUUCUUCAUCACUCCACUUUUCUUUUGGCGUUUGAAUGAUCUCAUGUGACUCAUUCAUUGAGGUAGGAGGUGUCCAAUCAAAUAGAAUCGCGCGCCAGGCCCAUUCAUCAAUAGAUUUGAUGAACAUCUUCAUCCUUAUUUUCCAAUCAGAGUAGUUCAAUUCACCCAAGAGGGGUGGUAGAAAUGCACCUUCGCGAUGAUUAUUCAUAUCUGCACAAAAAAAAUCAAAAAAAUUAAAUCCCAAAAUCUCACUAAGUGUAUCUAGUGACAGGCUCUUGAUGCCAAUUGUUAGAAAUUAUUUCGUGCAUAUUAAAUUAUUUGUGUCAGAUUCAGUUUUUCGUUACUGUUGCGUGAAUUGUUGCAACAGUUCGUGAAGCAGUUCGUAAAAACAGAAAUAAACGAGACACAAAUUUAAUGUGGUUCGGAUACAAUUGUACCCUACAUCCACGGGGACCUGCAAAUGAAAUUUACUAAUUUUAAGUUUUACGAAUACAAUAUUAGGACUUAAUCAAAUUACAAAGACUCCCUCUUUGUUGACGCCGUUCUUGUAUACUACGCUGAAUUAUAAAUCUUCAAUUUGCAGCACGUCCAUUGCUCCGCACGGUUGAACUCCUUCAACGCUGAAUCCCUCAGUCGGCGGAUCGACCUCCUCCCGAGAUCUGUUUAAGCCCCUCUCCCGAAGAACCGAUCUUCUUUUUAUAUAGAAGAAGCAAACUUGUGAUACUCCUUGAAUCUUGGUGUCUUCACCACAAAGCCUUGAAGCCGGUAUAUUGUCUAUUCUUUUUAUACAGAAGAAGCAAACUUGUGAUACUCCUUGAAUCUUGCUGUCUUCACCACAAAGCCUUGAAGCCGGUAUAUUUUCUAUGAAAAUCACGUAUCACGAUGGAGCAACAAAAACGAGAGAAAAUAAUAUUUCCUAUGUGAAUUUUUCUCUCGAUAAAAAUAACUCCGGAAGAACAACAAAGAAAAGAGAAAUAUUUUUCUCUCCAAAAAGGCACGCCGCAGUAAUGUGUCUUUGCUUCUCUUUUAUAAGCCUGAUGAAGAAUCCUACAAAAGACCAACAUCAAAAUAUGUAUCAGGCUUAUUAUGAAUAAACCUUAUCAAAAGAUAUUAAGUCCUAGUCAAACACUAAUUUCCAAAAGAAUUUGUAUUUUAUUGAAAUACAAAUUCUGUAUAAACCAAAUAGCUAAUUUAUGAAAUAAAUAUAUAAAUCAAUUAAUGACAAUUUAGCAAACCAAAACUUGGAAAAUAAAUAAAUUCUUCCCUUUAAUCAUGAUACACGGCUGUGUGUAUUCUCAAGGAAGAAAAACUUUAUUUCCAAGUUACAUGAUAUUAAGGAAUCCCAAUUUCUUAGAAUUCUCCAUGAUUUCUCUUAAGUAGAAUCUAAGAAAACAACUAAAAAAUAUCAAAAAUAACUAAAAACUAUCGAAAACUACUAAAAAAAUAGUAGGAUAAAGAAAACAACUAUAAAAAUAGAAGAAUAACAAAAACAACUAUAUUGUUGUAAAAGAUACCCAACAUCAAAAGCAUCACAAAAAAAAUUAAAAAAAUCAAUACGAUGGCGACGAUGGGACAAAGGCGGCGGUAGCAAAGUCCCUAGAUCCAACGGUGGAAUUGAGGGGUGGAGGUAGGGAGGGAUUUUUGAGUUUUUUAUGUCGUCUUCUACAACUAGAUCGAAAAUUGCAGCGAUGGCGGCGGCGGCGGGUCAAGAUCUUCAGAUUUGGGGGCUUCGACUUUAAUGUUGAGGAAGCUGAGAUGCGCUACGAGCGCGUCCCUGAAGCUGUUCCUAAAAUCGUCAGCUCAUGGUAUGAUUUUCAAGGGUGAGUGGUGGAAGCUACGGUGGAGUGGUUCUUGUUGCACCAUGGAUUUAGUCAAGACAAAGAGAUAGUUGAUUUUGAUUUUUUUUUCCAAUUAUAUGACUUGUUGGAAAAAUAAAAAUUGAAAAAUAUGAAUUAAAAAAAAUGAUAUUCAAAAAAAAUAAUUGAUGUUUAAUGUAGUUGUUUUAAAAAACAAAUGGAUUAAUGACUUGAAUUACUCAAAAAAAAAAAAAAAACAAAUGGAUUCAAAAUAAAUGAUAUGAUAAAAAAUUGAAAGUUGAUUUUCAGAAAAAUUGUAGUUGAUUUCGAAAAUAUUAUAGUUGAUUUUGGAAAAACGAAACUAAAGAAACGAAACUAAACGAAAAAAUCAUCAAAAAAACCCUAGUAUCUACAAUAUUACACAAAUUAACUGUCAAUGUCUCAAUGAGAGUCCAAUUACUGUAAAUUACAAACAUAUCACAUUAUAAUUACCAGAAAAUUAUUUACCACAAUAACUUUAGCAAGGAAAAACUUAAUAUUAGUGAUUUUUAGCCCCGAAUACCUAAAUAUUAGUGUUUCAAUCACUGAAAGCCCUAAUAUUAGUGUUUCAAUCACUGCGCACUUCCAUAAAAAUAAAAAAAAAUAAAAACUAGUAUCUAUAGUAUCACACAAAAUUACUGUAAAUGAGAGUUCAGUUGAUGUAAAUUACAAAAAACAUCACAUUAUAAUUUCCAUAAAUAGAUUUACCAAAACAACUUCAGCAAGGAAAAACUUAAUAUUAAUAUUUUAACCCCCAAUAACCCCAUAAAAAUUAAACCGGAUACCCUAGUAUCUACAUUAAUAUUACACAAAAUUAUUGUCAAUGGAAGUCCAUCAUAGUAAAUAACAAACAAAUCACAUUAUACUUACCAGAAAUCCAUUUACCACAACAACUAGCAUGGAAAAUCGUAAUAUUAUUGUUUCAAUCAUAAAUUCCACCAGAAAAAAAACACAGUAUUAAUGUAGAAGGAGAAAAUACAUACCUGAAUCCUUCGUUAUGUUGCCUUUUGAACCUCAGGGACCACUUGUGAGAUUUAAUACAUGAUAAUAGUAAAUAGUUGUGAUAAGCUAAUAAUCAAUUAUUUAUGUUACAAAACGAGGAUGUAAACAGCCAAUGUUUUGAAAACCGGACCGGACCGGCCGGUUCGACCGGUUGAACCGCGAACCGGCUGGUCAUCCGGUCCGGUCCUAUGCAUAAAACCGAAAAUGCCUAAAACCCGGGUCAAACGCUGAGAACCGGGAAAACCCCGGUCGAACCAACACAACCGGAAACCGGCCAGAAAACCGAGUUUUGUAAAACAAAUUCAAAAACAGACAAAUUAAUUGUUGAAAAUCGAUCUUCUUCUCAUUUGGGUUGUUGCAGAGUUGAGUGGUGAGGGAAGAGGAGAUAAAACAAAAAAAUAGGAAAAAAAAAUUAAGAAAACCAGACGCAGGGGAAAGAAUGGAGAAGAGAGAGAGAGAUGAGUGGUGUGGUGUCGGCGGAAUGACGCUGACAAAUUGUAAACUAGGGUUGGGUUAAUCUAUUAGUUAUUAGUUUAUCUUUUUAAUGUUUUAUUAAUGUUAUAAGUUCUCGUAAAGGUAUAUUAGUGUACAACUAUUUCAAUUAUGUUUUUCAUUGGUUGAAAAUUUAUGCUCAUAAACUUUUUAUUUAAAAUUUAUGUCUCAGAAAUUUAUUUGUACUUUUAUAUACUAACGUAAUAUCUUUUAUUUUUUUGACAGAGUAUUUUACGUAAUUUCAAAAAUUAUGUUUUUAUAUUGUAAAAUUUGAUCUAAUUUAAUUUUACUGUGUGUGAUUCAAAAAAAUUAAUUAUAGUCUUUAUGUUAUUGUUAAUAUUAAUUAUAAUGAUAUAUAUUGGUAGUAAUAUUUAUUUAUAAAAUAAUUACUCUAUAUAUAUAAAUAAAUUAAAAAAAUAUAAAAAAAAUCAAAAACCCGGUUGGACCCUGGUUGAACCGGUCCGACCGUGACCCAGUUGACUGUCCGGUUCUAUGUCCGGUCCGGUUUUAAAAACAUUGUAAACAGCAAAAUGGAACCAAAACUUCAAUUAGGGCAAUACAAUACUUACGAGCAACAAUUUGUAUCCACAUCUUCUAUAUAACUUCGAGCGCUGCUGGGAAAAUUGAUGUGACGACAACAACUUUAAAUUGCAAAAUAGCUGCGAUAAUGGGAGUCCUAGAUACGAUUUGCUUGUGCUUUUGGAAGAGAAUGCUUUGAUUGUGUUUUUGUGAGGGACAACCCAUCCGAUGUUUUGAGAAGUCGUGGGUGGGGAGCCGUUGUGGAGAGAGAAACAAGUUGGAUGAACAAGUGGUGGAGCCCGACAUCUGUUUUGAAUAUAAGGGAGGGUAUUUUUGUCAAAGGACGUAUGGAUGGGCUUUAUGACCUUUCAUGACCAUUAUACUCCUUGUAACUCAUGACAUUUCAUGAUCUUACUUGUACUAUAUAUAGUGCUCCAUUGUAUUGAGUUGAAAUAAUAUACUUAUUUCUCUCUAUUACUCUAUCAAUUCAUCUUUGCUUUGUUCUUCUUUAUUAGUUUCUCAACACGUUAUCUGUACGAUUGUUCUAUUUUAUUUUUCUAGGAAAGAUGAUCCAAAGAGGAUAACUUAUGAGCCAUCGAAGAUGAAAAGCGAGUUGAUAUCAAAUAUUUUAUUGCUGUUUUGAAUUGAUGAAAUAUUAACAAUCUUAUUUCUAUUGUAGGUGAUGUUUUGCACAAUUCACGAGGUCAGACUUCGAGGUCCAUUUAGGACCUGAUAAUACCCGAAUUUGAAAAAGUGUAAAGCAUAAAAGUUGUAGGACUUUAUGUUGGCUGUUCAGAACAUCUUGAAUCGCUGAAUUCCGAUGUUAGGCGAUAAAGAUAUGUUCAAAAUACUCGCCCCGUCAGAGGUAACAAUUAUGCGCGGGUUUUUCUUUUACCAAAGAAUCGGUAAUUCUGAAUUAUGGAAUCUGGUAUGUUCUUAUACACAUACUAACUAUGAUACUGUCUGCAACAGAAGAUUAUUAAACCAUUAUUACAUCAAAAAACGCAUGACAUGUUCUUCAGUUUUAUGAAACUAAAAGAAAACGUCACAAUGAAACGUCUUAUGUGAGUAAGAAUUCGAAGCAUUAAUGUUAUGCAGCAUUUAUUAUUUAAUUGAAGUUCUGAAUUUAUCAUUCAUUCGCUGUAGAAAUUGAUUAUGAAUUAUUUAUGUCAUUUAAUUAUUACUGACCGAUUUAUUAUAUUUAUUGUAAUGCUUAUCUUUAAUAAUUAUUUUGGCAUGUGGUAACGUAUGUACACUUAUGAGUGCUUCUAAAUUGUCUCGUAAAUCUAUUAAUAUAUACAUCCAAUGACAUGAUUGGCAUAUCAUUUUGUUCUCAUAUAAACCAGUGAAUGAAGUAAUAAUUUUCAUGCAUUUUCUGUUGUGGCUUAAGGAAUUUUUCAAGGAAGAGAAAUAUAUUUCUGGUUAUACCCAUAUUGCUCUUUCAGUUUCUACCAUUAAGAUUUGUUUGUUUAGAGUGAAGUAUCUGUUCAAUCUUAUUGGUAUAAAUAAUUUUGUUGGAAAUAUACUGUGAUUGUGAUAAACUCGAAGUUCAUAUAUUUUAGGCUCGAAGCCUAGAUUAAAAAUGAAAGCUUAAAAUCUUUUGUGGAGGCAUAUCAAUUAUAAAGGAUUGAGGUCCCUAAAUCAAGUACAUAAAUUCAAGGUAUAAAACUGAAAUCUUGAUAUUUGAAUAAUAUAUUGUACUCGAAAGAACUAUUCAGUUUGUGGUUCAAUGAUAUAUAUGAAGAUUUGAGUUAAUUAUAGUACCAUUAUUUCAUGACAAUUACUAUAUAUAUAUAUAUAUAUAUAUAUAUAUAUAUAUAUAUAUAUAUAUAUAUAUAUAUAUAUAUACUCGAAAAGACUAUUCAUUUGUGAUUCAAUGAUAUGAGUCAUAUCAUGCAAUUUGAAAUUAUUUUUGAUAGCUCAAGAAGAAACGUAACUAUAAGUUACGGAUCAUUGAAGUUGAAGAUCCAUCUAUGUGUAUUGGAAAUACAAGCCAAAUAUUUUAUAAUGAAAAUGUGUCUAGAAGACAACAAGCAAAAUUAUUGUUUCAUUUUCAAGAAACGAGUAAAUAAUUUGGGGUAUGUGUCUUGUGAAUACAUAAGUAAAAGUAACAUAAAAUAAAGUUACUUAUGGAGAUAUAUAAGAGAGAAAACUCUCUAAGUUUGUGAAUUGAAAUGCUAUAGCAGUAGCAAUAUUUUGGAUCUAUAUUAUGAUCAUGAAGUGACAACAUAAAAACUCAAGUUGCACUUGUAAUAGCAUAAUAGAGAAUUUCAAUAGCAUAUCAUACUAUAAUACGGGUUGUGAGCUAAUACAAAGCUCAUUCCAUUGUUGUUAUUCUUUGACAGUGAAACAACAAAAUAUUUCAAGAGAUAUCUUAAAUAGAUAUCAUGGUGCUUAUUACAUUAUAAAUCUACCUCACCAUUUAAGGUAAAGAGAUGUGAGAAAUAUGAAAAAUGAUUGGUCAUAUAUCCAUUUUAAGGUAAAACAUGUUGAUAAGCUUUAUCAAGCACCAAUAGAAAAGCAAAAGAAAUUGCGUUGAUUUUGGAAUCACGAUAUUGACCAAUUCAAUUAAAGAUUUUGAAUCACAAAAGUUUAGCGAUGCAAAUUUCAUUCGAAAUCCAUUUCUAUGGAUAUAUGUAUAUGAUUUCUUUUUAUAAUUGGUAUUAGAUGAGAUGAGAUGAAAUUUCAAACCAAACGAAAAAUAAGGGGAUCUGAUUUUCUUGUUAAAAUUUCAAACCCUCUGCAUAUUCUGAUUUUUCAAAAUUUACAAUUUACUACUUCAAAAUUUUCAAAAUUUUCAUUUUAGUAUCCCUAGAUUUGAAAACUUUACGAUUCAGUCCAAAUGUUUUUCAAAAUAUGCAGCUCGUUCCUUUCAUCAUCUGCAAUUAUGAAUCCAUUUCAGCAUUUUCAGUUUUCACUGAAGUUUUUAAAAUUUCAGCCUUGUCCCUGAUGUUUUUAAAAUUAACAGUUUGGUCCCUAAAAUUUUCAAAAUUAACAGUUUGGUCCGUGAAUUUUCAAAAUUUUAAAAUUUGAUCAUUUAUGUUAACAAUCUGUUAGAUUCUCAAACGAAGUUAUUUUUAGCCACAUAACAUGAUAUCACAUGGUUUGUUUAUUAUUUAUGCCAUGCAAUAUUUUGCACCCCUAAUGGGAGAUAUUUCUAUGAACAUAUAUUGUCAAUUGUCAUUUUAAUGAGACAAUUUUCCCGCCGUUAAGGGGAGAUAAGAAGCCGGUUCUUGUAUAGCGGCGUGAAUUAUAUGAAAUGAUCUUUGUCCCAUCUAAAUUUGUGCAUGGAAAUAUUUAAGCACAAAAGAAAAAAACAAUUCAUUUGCAACAAUUUUCAUGUGAAAAAUGCUAGAUGCAUUUAUUGACAAAAUGUCAACUUGAAAUUAUUACAUAGAGGUUUUAGCAAGCGCUACCCCUGUGAAAAGUCUAAUUGCUAAAAAAAACCCUAUGUAAAAACAAUUAGCAUUUACCCCCCUAUGUCAAGAAGUCAAAGGCACUUGCCCACCUACCAGCAAAUCGUGUGAUGCCACGCGUUGUUGGUGCGAUUUGUUAUUGGUUUUUUGAUGUGAAAAGUCUCAAAUGCCCUUUAUAUAAAUAUAAACUCAAUUGAAGUUAAAUGUAAAUUUACAAAUGUUUGGGUCAAAUUGCAAAUUAUGUAAACUUCUUGAAGCCCUAGUCUUUUCUUGAUUUCCUCCCAACAACGGCACGCCAGCUUCUUCUCUGAGUUCGUCGGAACAUACACGUCAAAAUUUUCCGGCAACCGAGUCGAACCCGCUUCGAUUGCUGCCCCAUCACUGUGUUCCGGCGAACUGUUAUUUAACUUCCCCCACCAAUUUCGUCCAUGGUAGAUGGCGGAGAUGGUGCCCACCGAUUUCGUCCAUGGUAGAUGGCGGAGAUGGUACCCGUAGCACCGUAGUAGGCUGCCGAUUUGGGGAGAUUUUUGCUAGAAUUUGGGAUUGGUUCUGAUGUGGAUGUCAAGAGGACAUCUCCGAAGGAUUUUGAAAGAUUGGAAAUCGGAGAAUGGAUUUGCAGUCGCCGGAGCCGCCGACGCCGGAGGUAAUCGAUCAGAUCCAGUUCACGGAUGGAAGAUGUAUUACGUAAUCAAUUCUUGGUCGGCAAAGAGAGGCGGCAGAAAUGGUGGAUUUGGAGAGGAGCAUGAUUUUUUUUUUUUUGACAGAAGCAGAGAAGCAUGAUGAAUUGUGGAGAAGAUGACAUUUUUUUUCUUUUUAUUAUUUUAUGUUUAUUUUGUAAAUAAAAAAAUAAAAAAUAUUAAUAUCUAUAGUCAGUAUAUAGUUUUCGCAUUUUUUUAAAUAACUGUCAAGUUCUUUUUUAUUUUUAAUAAUAACAAAUAAAAGGACAUGUAGUAUAUUUUAAUUAUUUUAAGUGGUGGGGUCUGUGCACAAUUGGGGAGGGGAACAUCGUUUUUCAUAGGGUUAAUUUAGUCAUUUCAUUAUGGUCAACGCACUUUAUUUGGAUAGGGAGCUGUGAACUAAAUAAAAGCCAUCAUAGGGGGGUUAAUGCUAAUAUUUUUAACAUGGGGGUUUUUCCGACAAUUAGACAUUUCACAGGGGUGUGUAUGCAAUUAACUCUUAUUACAUAUGUUGCAAAUGAGUGCAAGAAAAUUUCCAAGAAGGACACAUUGCACAUUAGAUUUUGCCAUGAAAGGCUUAUAAACGAAUGUCCUCGAAGGACAAAUUUCACAUUGUGAUUGCAUCGUGAAUCCUUUAAUGGGUGAAAAAUGAUUAUGGUACACAACUAACCAAUUAUAAUUUGUACAUAUAAGAGGGGGAUAUAUAUGUUGGUUCGAAUGAUUAAAAUCCCAAGAAGUGGGUGAAUAUUGUGUAACUAAAGUCUACUAGCGCUAGUAGCACCAUACUCUCAUCAUAUUACUUAUCUCAUUUGAUGAAAGGAUUCGUAUUAAAGACAAUGUUAGGGGAUGCCUCAACACCAAUAUCCAUUACUAUGAUAUGAGAAUACUUGCCAGUUAUGGUGGCAUAAAUGAAAUACAUAUUUGGAUGAGAAAAUCAUUGAUGAUUAUAUGGUAGCCACCGAGACCAUUAUAAAUCGAACCAUUAUGUGUCAAUAAAUAGUUGAUUGACAAAUAAAUCAUGGUUAGCUUGCUCUCUAAGAGCUGUUUUGGUUUCACGGAAGAAUAAAUAUGCGAUUGGACUAUUUAUAUUGGAUUGCAUUGUUUCAAAAAGGUAAUACUGGAAGUAGUCCAUCUUUGGAUUUUCGUACUUGGACAUUUGGAUUAGUGCAGCCCAUAUCAAUCUCAUCUUAGGUUUAUUUGACUAAUUAAGAAUACAAUGUGAAAAUACAAAAUUACCCUUUUGAGCCCAUUAGAAAUAAAAGGUAAUCAGCUGAUGUUGCUCUGUAUUCUAGAAUCGAUAAGUUAGAUUUUUUCCCCCCAAAUUAACAAAACCUAGGUUCAACAACACGCCUCAUUUUUUCUUAAUUCUUUUCCCAGUUGUACGAAUUGUGCGUUGAGUUUACCACUUUCCAUCUCGCCAUGAGUAGCAGCAGUUCUACGGGUGCGAGGGGACGAGGAGGUAGUUCUACUUGUGGUUGCAGCCGCUUCGAUGAAACAACACCGAUGUUUUGUUAUUGUAGGUUGAAAUUGUCCGUUAAGACGUCAUCCACGAGUACCAAUCUAGGACGCCGGUUUGUUUCAUGUCCGGAGCGAAGGAAGGUAAGCUGUCAAUUACCCGCUUGUUGAUUAUGUAUUUCUCAUUCUUGUCGGUGCAUUAGACAACAAUUCCAGUUGAAUGUUGUUUGUCCUAAUAAAAUUAUAAAUUGGGCAGGAUUUGAAAUGUAAAUUUUUCAAAUGGGUGGAGCAUGAAUUUUGUGAAAAUUCGAGUGAAAUGAUUUCUGGAUUAAAGGAAAGGAUUGAAGGAUUGAAGCAACAGUUGGGAAUCGAAUCACGCAGAGCGAAAUUCUACAAAAAGGUUGCUAUAUGUUCAUCAUUUGCUCUUUUUCUAUUUUUUCUCACAAUAUUCUCUUGUUGCUGUCAAAAUCUUUUAUUCCCAUGCCAACUAACAACUUCAACAUAAUAAUCAUUAUUUGGUAAAAAGAAAUGCAAAACAGUAAGCUCUCUUCUUCCCUAUACAUAUAUGAAACUUACAUGAGUUACCACACCAUUGCUUCUCUACAAGGUUUCCUCCUCCAUAAACCAACAAGCUUUCCUCCACACAAAAUUGGAGCAAUGAAACCCAAAAAAUCAAUAAUAUUCAAACAAGCAGAUUUCUUGUAUGAAUUGGAAUGGGAUGAGAAGGUAGACGACACUUUUAUACAAGUUUUGUCAUACCAAGCUCGUUUGGGGGAUUUCGUUGCGGGUAAAAAAAUGAGAGAUUCAAUCCGUAUGGCACAAAGUGUUAUACAAAAAAAACAUGGCAAACAUUUAUCGGCAAAGUAUUUUCUUAAGAAGUUGGUUGUUCUUGAAACAAGGUAUGACAUCUUUGGUUGGAUGCUCACUCUUCCCGGAUUUUCGUGGAAUCAAACAACUAACGUGGUAACCGCGUCGGAUGACCUAUGGACUGAAGUAUUGAAGGUAAUCAUUUCGAAUUUGUUAGGAUACUAUACAAAUUCUCUACUCAUUUAGUUUAUUUCCUUUACUAAUGCAACCUCUUUUUUCGGAAUGUAUAGGAUCACAUGUUUGGUUGGGCAUACCGUAAAUAUGGUGACUCCAAAUAGGAAGAUCUACAAACUAUUUUUUCCAAACCGGCUAUUCAAGAAAAUCCGCAAAAUGAAGAGGUCAUUGUCGUGUCAUCGGAGGACGAUGAAGAUGUUAAGCCCGCACGUGCACCUCCACCGGUUCCGAUCCCGGGGACGCCGGUUAUCAACAUCUUAUAAAAUAAAAUAAGACAACCCGCGUGGACAACCCUAUGACAUUGUCAAAUAAAAUAAAGUAAGACACUGGUAAUAUUUAUUAAUGAUUGGUUAAACACUUAUUUAUGACGUUCUCAUUUUUUACCUCAAAAUAUUUCCAACGCGCGUGAUCGCAAUUUGAGUCGACGGGUUCAGGUGUAACAAGCAUAACGUUGCGUAGUUUUAAUAGAGCGUGCAAAACCCGAGAGAAAUGAAUACUAAUUGUGUAACCGGACCUCCUAUAAUUUGUUUGAAUUAUGACAUUUUUUUCGUGGUGUGAUAGAACAUGUAAGAACAAAGCAACUUGCUCAACCACAAAGACAUUCCUAGUCGCAACUAGACCACCAACAUUCUCAAGAAAACACAACCGAGAAAAUGUGUCGGUAUUCAUCCGUAGAUUUUGACGGCAAACAAUAUCACUCCAACCAACAAGGUAAGAUAGAUGUUGUAUUUGAAUUGGUAUCUUACUUUUCAAACUAUAGCAGCGACCACUAACAUUACCAUUCCUAAGCUGCCGACGUCUAAUUAGUCGCAAAAGUUAUGUAAACAUAACCAUAAGCAUUCUAAUUUGCUCAACUAAUUGAAAAGCCAUGACUACGACAACCUCUUCUUCCGUAUUGGCAUCCAUGUAUCAAACUGGGCUGUUGACAAACCAUUAAAUUGUAAUGAAGUACAAAAUUUGAAAUAAAAAAAUUCAAACAUCACGAGAAGCAGCAACUGGAACCACUCAUUUAUGUUUUGAAAAUCAUUGUUUAUUCUCAAAAAAUCUAUAUGACCAUUUAUGUAAAAAAAUUCACAUUUUUUGCAUAGUUCCACAACUAACUCAACUAUUAAUAUCAUUGGGUCCACAUAAACAAACACCAUAUAGAGGAGGAAACAUUAAAAAAAAAAAAAAAAAAAACACACACACACACACAAAUAACAAGGCAGAAUAACACUGACCUUGAAAGAGUAGAGACCAAAACCAAAUAAGGAUAAUGAAAAUUUGGGGCCCUUGUCUGACAAAUCGGAACAACACGCUAAAACAAGAACCAAAACAAAGAAAAAUAUAUUAGUGAAGAGAAAAAAAUUAUGACAAAAUCUGGAAAAAUAGCAAAAAACUCGAAGUGUUUGUAACUGAGUUUCUUCUACCAUAUGUGUUUUAAAAAAAAUUGCAAGUACUCAGCAAAAGAAGCAAGCUGGAUUUGAAGAAAUAAUUGGUUGACGACGAUCUACACAAACCUUCAAAAUCUAGCCUUCGAGAUGUCUGCCGACGAAUGCAAUGCUCCUGAGCUACCACUGGAAUCUUCAACAAUAUACAAACACCAAAUUUUGAAGUUGCUAGUUUCCAAAUCGAAGAAAACAAAAUAGAAGAAUAAAAACGCAGAAGAAAAUAUUUGUAUACAUACGUGUAUUCAGGAAAUUUAGGGCACGUAGAAGAAAAUGGGGGAGUGAGUUAGAUAUUUAUACCAGGUUUAUGUGUAGUUGUUUGAAAUUAUAGAGGGUACUGUUGUCAAUUCACAUGGAAAUUGAAUCCGAAAAAAAACCGGAUUGUGUAAUCGGAUCUCAUUUGGGCGGAUGGAAUAUCAUUCGUUUCAAGGAUAGCAGACCGGGCCGGGGAUCAAUCUGGGAUUUCGAUCCAAUAAUCCUAAGAUGAGAUCUGGUCAGAUAAAUUCAUCAAUCCAAUGGGUUCCAAGAAACCAAAGAUGCCCUAAGUGAAUAGAGAGGUAUUUGAGACCAUUAGUUCUCAAUUUUGUUGUUGUACCGAUAUACUAUCUUAAAGGAUUGAAAAUUCUUUUAGAAUAAAUAUUCAUGUACCAAAUUGAAUUUGAUAAUAUUGAAUUUGAAAAUAAAGUGGACAAGUAGUCCUCAAUACUCACUCCACAUUGUGAAACUCAAAAGCGCGUGUUUUGUCCAAGUAGGACAUUUUAUUGAAAUAAAUAAUGAGCUCAAGCACAUAAAAUAUUAUGAAAAACUUUAUUGAUGCAAUAUAGAAAAUUAUCUAUAAGAGAAAAAUACAUGGUACAUGAAAAUAUAUGGAUCUUUACAAGAGAUCGUACCCACAAAGGCUACAAUCCCCAUUUAUAUGAAUAUAAUUCUCUAAGGAGAAUCCGGUACUGGAAAGUGAAAUAGUGAGCUCUUGAUUGAUUAUAUAGAAAUAUGGGGAGUAUGAAAGAUGUUAUCGAAUAACUAUAUGUACAAUUAUUUUUAUAAUGUGAAGAGCUUGAAGCUCGUAAUUUUUUAUGUCAACAUCUAAUUGGUCAUUAGUAUAUGUAUUCACAAAUGCAAUUGACCAUGAUUAUUUGAAAUUAUUGAUGAAAUGAAUUGUACAUGGAUUUGCGGUCAUCACACAUAAAAUUGUGAAAGCCUUUAGUGAAAAAGUGGGUAAAAUUAUUGCGGUACAUUUGAAUACCUUUUGAAAAAUAUUUUUUCGAUGCAAUCAAUUUAUGGUAUUCAAAAUUAUUUGAUAUGCACCAUACGGAUGCAAUUACCGCAUAUCACACUUAUAUGGAUCAUAACUUUUUAUUUCAAAUAAUUGAAAUUGCUUGAAGCAUAUAAUAAGAGGUCUCAUGAGUUACACUCUACGAAUGAACCAAUUACAUACUCAAGAAUAUGGUAUUGUCACCUUAGUGAAUACCUUGUUUACAAAAACAAUAAUCAAAUAAAUUGAUUUACAUUGUCAUUUGGGGCGAAUUAAAUCUUGUGGAGACUCAUGAAGAGCUCACAAAGAUCAUCAAUUAUUUGAUGAAAUAAUUCGAAGUGAAAAUAUUUUGGGAGGAUAUAUUUUGCCUUGAUCUGCAGAUCGAGCAUUAGUCGAAUGAAAUAUUUAUCUAUUAUUUGUUUAUAUAUGAUAAAGCUCAUUCAUUGAGUAAACAUAUGAUUAUCCGAUCUUUGGACAUAAGAAUAUAUUCCCGUCCUCGAGAAGAUAAUGAAGACCUUGGUCCUAAUAUAUGAGGAUAAUGUUGUCUGAUUGCACCAACGAGAUUUUGGCUAUAUAAAGGGAGGUGCCCGAAAAAUUAUUGAAGAUUUCUAAAACAGUCGAAAGUUAAAGAAGAAAGAAGACAUUGACGGUUAUUGAUGACAAUCAAAUAACAAGUUUGCAAAUCCAUACGUCGGCGAUCUUACUCCAAUAUCUCAUGCUGAAAUCAGGGGGAGCGUGAUCAACAAUUUCAACACUGUACUCUUUUUCUCUUGUCCAAGUUUUUAUCCCAAUGGGUUUUUCUUGGCAAUGUUUAAACGAAGCAGUGUCACGCUUGCAAGGUUUGCAUGGAUAUGUACUCUUUUCUCCUUCGAUUAGGUUUUGUCCAAUGGGUUUUCCUAACAAGGUUUUUAACGAGGCAUAUUCCACAGAUAGUGGACAUCUUAUCCAAGGGGGAGUGUUAAGAACUCUAUGAGGUUAUGGAUGACCACCAUUACUCCGACCACUAUUCCCACCAUUUACUCAUCAUUAUGUUGUCUCCACCACUAGCUAAAAAGUAAUAGUUCGUUAGAAUUCUAUCGGAAUAACGUAGCUAAUAUAUUAUCUCACUAGAGUUUCUAACUAUGUUUUAGGGGGUGAGUGUAAUUAUCGAUACCACAAGGACCUUAUAGUUAUUUAAGCAUACUUCAGGGAUGUGGGUGUAAUUUACACUUAAAUUUAUCAAGAUCCUAUAUCUUUAAAUGAAUAAAACAUAUUCUCAUAUGCAAGUGAUCGAUAUAAUUGCAAGAGUCGAUGAUAGAUGCGAAGAAAUAUAAAAGACCAAAAACGGUUACACCAUGCAUGACGGAGGUUAUUAAUAGAGAGUUAUUAAAAAGGGAAAAUUGGCAAGAUCCCCUCAUUUGGAAAAAUUAUUUGAUGUAGAACCUCUUAAAAACGUAAUUUGAGAAAACCACAUUCUUAUGUAUUUUCGCGAUUUUCUAAUUACCUUACGUUUUUCGCGAAAUUUGGAUUAAACUGGACGCUAAUCGACUAUGUUGUUUGCAUAGUCGAUUUAUUAAUCGACUGUAGUUGAUUAAAAUAUUAAAGCGUUUAUUAGACCUAAAAAUAAUAAAUCGAUUAUAAAAAAACAUAGUAGAUUUAUUAAUCGACUAUACAAACAACUUAGUCGAUUAGCGUCUAGUUUAAUCCAAAUUUCACGAAAAAACACAAUCGCCGCCGUGUUGGACGUCUGCGGCUGCAACUCAGCCGCCCUCGUCUGCAGCAAGUGGUACGCCAUGGAGCGCGCCACCAGCUCCUCUGCCACCCUUCGCAGCAACCUCCGUGACCUCUUCAUAGCCCCCACCUAUUUCCGAUACGUCUCCCACCUCAACCUCUCACUCCUCUCUCCUUGAAAAGAGUAUGAGUUUAUCUCAAAGAGUGAAUUAUAGUUUGGACAUUUUUCUAUUGAUUAAAUGUUUGAGGGGUUAUAUCAAAGAGACUAUGAUAAUUAAUAUAACUGAAACUCUUCCUUCCAAUUCUCCCUUCAUCCAUGCGACCAUCAAAUCAAUGACCCAAACCGCAGAGGAUUCAGUGACCCGACCUUUACCACCCCACACUUUUCUCUCUUUGCACACAUUUUUAACAAUGAAAUGUACCUUCUCGAAAUUUUUCUUCACAAUCUUAUAUAUACAAUCUACAUCGAGCAACAAAAAAAAGGCAAUACAAAUUGUAACAUAAAUUGGAAUUGUAAAAGUAGAUAAUUAUAUAUAAUACAAUCUACAACUGAAAAACAAAAAAACAUUCCAUGAUGAAAAUAGAAAGAAACAAAUUAUAAAAUUGAAUCCUUGAGGCACUUUUCUAUGAUUCUCCAACCACCAAGUCUCUGCUUGGUGUUUCCCAAAUCUCUCGGCUGCAUGCGCAAAAAACAUUAUUUAUAGUUCAAGCUUUGGAUCAAAAUUCAUUAAGAAAACGAAAUUGAAAAGAUUUGAAGCUCAUAACGCGUUCCUAAGUCUGAUUUGGAGAAAACAAAUGGAGACGAAGAUUUUUUGAGUAGAGAUGUUAAAAUCAAUUAAAAACCAUAAAUAUCCUAGGUGUACAGAAAAACACAGACAGCAAAAAAAAUUUGCCAUAUUAUUUUUUACAGCAAUUCUUUCCUAUGCAAAAACAAAUUAGUUGAAUAUGGAUAUUAUCGUGAAUUUCCUACGAUUCCGUUGUUGCAAAGGCCUGGACCGUCUUCAUGUUGGGUAUCUGCCAAGCUCCAUAUCAAAUAUAUAUAUAUAUAUAUAUAUAUAUAUAUAUAUAUAUAUAUAUAUAUAUAUAUAUAUAUAUAUAUAUAUAUAUGUGUGUGUGUGUGUGUGUGUGUGUGUGUAUAUAUAUAUCUAUAUAUAUAUAUAUAUAUAUCUGUAUAUAUAUAUAUAUAUAUAGAUAUAGCUAUAUAUANNNNNNNNNNNNNNNNNNNNNNNNNNNNNNNNNNNNNNNNNNNNNNNNNNNNNNNNNNNNNNNNNNNNNNNNNNNNNNNNNNNNNNNNNNNNNNNNNNNNCAGUCUUCCAAUUAUUCACACCAGAAAUCCACACAUGAUUUCUACAAUACACCACCAGAGUACCACAAGAAGAACAGAUCUUCUUUCUCACUCUCACUCAAACCCUAGUUUACCCAGAACUCCAUGAAGGAAAGAACAGAUCAAGCACUCAAGCUUCCACACUCACCAAAACCCCCUUUCAGAGUUCACAAAGGAAAAACUGAAGGAUUUAGGUCGAGUAUAGCUAGGUUUAGAUAUGAGUCUUAUCUUCUUCCAACCUUCAUACCCGUAUUUAUAGAGACAGAAGUCAAAAAUAGCCGGUGAAAUCAACACGAAGUGCUCGCGGUGAUUGUGGAAAGAAAUCAUUUGUGGGACUAGGAUAAUUGAAGAGCUUGUGAUUCAGGUGCGUCCGUGAAAUGGUGAUCUCAUUUGAAGAAUCCACGUAUCGUCAUAACAUUUGGAUGAAGCGUAUCAAGUAACCCAUAAUCCUUGAAAUUUUAUAUGUAUCGAAAAUGCAUGAUGGAUAAAUCGUGGAAAAGUAUAAAACUUUUGACUGAUACACUCCCUUGUACUUUUAUGUGGUAUAGGUUUUCUGUUAGGUAAUAUUGCAUGUAUCUCGUAAUUAAGUCAGUGUUAUGGUAAUAUGUGUUUUUCCCAUAUUAAUACCCUAGAAAUUAUUUUAUCCAAAACAUAUCUCCAUAAUUUCUCAAAUGUCUUACGCUUGAUUUAAUAAUUUGCAUGCAAUCGUGAGGAUAUGUUAUGUAUGACCAAUGUUCUACGCGGAAUCCGUUAGCGCUAGAAAUUUGGUUAAAUAUGCUCCGAUAUAGGAAACUUACUUGAAUUUUUGUAUUUGCAUAACAUAUAGGGUUCCGUGCAAGUUUUUAAUGAAUCAUAAUUCCACUUAUGCACGACAAUACAAAUAACACCAUGAUAUAUUUAGAAAAAUGAGAUUUUAUUUUUGUCUAUUUUGGAAGUUAAUUGGAGUGUGUUUAAUCUAUUUAUGUUUUGCGGCAUAAAUGUUGAUUUAUUGGAAAUUUUUUUACUUGACAUUGAAUUUAUUGUAUGAGUUGCGAGAAAAAUGUAGAAUAUUUGAUCAUUUUGAAGUCAAAUAUAAUUCAAUGUCUUGACUUUCCUAAACUAAUUUUAUGUAUUUAUUUAAAUAAUAAUCGGUUGUAUUAUUAUUAGUUAGUGUGCGAUUAUUUUUAGCUUAGUGAGAAAUUAUUUAAAUACAUGUUUAAUUCAUCCACUAACCAAUUAUCCCACUAACUCAUUAUCUCUCGCAUUGUGUUUAUUUUGUGCAGGACAAGGAGCUCUAAGAUUCUAUAAAUAGGAGAAGAACUCUGUUUAUUUCACAUCAUUUCUGAAGAGAGUUGAGAUCACAGAGCUUCGGGUGUUGAAACAUUUUCUACAACACCUAGUUUUCCUUGUGGUUUUCUCACUAUAGAAUUCAUGAGUCUAUUUUGUAUUCAAUAUCAUCGAAUACUGGUUCGUAUCCCUAGAGUGUUGCUAAGCAAUAUUGUCAUAGAUUCUAGGGAUUGGUGUGCGAAGAAAUCAACCUGUGGUUUCUUAAUAGAAGAGAAGAUCUUGGCUUCUCAUUUGUAUUAUUUUGAAUACUGUUGCAAUAGAGCUCUUCGCCUGUGAAGGCACAUCCACAGGUUAUAAACUUGUAGAUAAUAAUUUAAAACUUGUGUUAUUUAUAUUCUGCUGCAUAAUCUUUCUCAACACAAGUUUCUGUUUAUUGUUUGAAAGAAAUCUCUGAUCUUAUAUUUAUUUAUACUCAUUUACACGAAUUCGAAGGCAUUGGAUUCUUUCAAUUGGCAUCAAGAGCCAAUACUUGACCUCACUAAGUGUACAAUCAUGUGGUUAUUUUUUUCAAUGGCACAAAUUCUUGAUGGAAACAUGAAUGUCUGCCUCUAUGCGUCCUCCAGUACUAGAUGGAAGAAAUUAUACUUAUUGGAAAGUGAAGACGACGGCGUUCAUCAAAUCUGUUGAUAAAAGGACCUAGAGAGCUGUGUUGACUGGAUGGAGCACUACACAACGAGUUGAUGCAGAUGGAGGUACCAUCAUAAUUCUUGAGAUCGACUGGGAUGUUGAUCAGAUCGCAACAACAAGCCAUGACUCUAAAAAUUUAAAUGUUAUAUUCAACUCAAUGGAUAUCACAAUGUUUAAGCUUAUUUCUGUAUGCACAAGUGCGAAGGAUGUGUGGGAUGUCCUUCAAUUGCACUGUGAAAGUUGUGAAAGUGUGAGGAGAACUAAACUUAGAUUUAUGUCUUCCAUGUUUGAACGCCUGAGAAUGGAUGAGAAUGAAACCAUUUCCCAGUACAAAUGAGAAGAUCAUUGAUCUGGCAAAUGAAUUUCAAGCUCUCGGAGGUCCAUUGAGCAAUGAAACACUAGUCAUCAAAGUGUUGAGAAUACUUCCAGAGUGGUUCAAAAUGAAGGUCACGACAAUUGAUGAAUUGUUUGUGGAACUGAUUAUGGAUGUUACAUUCCCAUAAAACACUAAUACUCGAUAUUGUAUUUGAUUUGAGAUGAAACACAUGAGCAAGUUUGAGUUUACCCAAUCGUAAUGUAUCUCGUGAAAAUUAUAUUAGUUUGAGAAUGAAUGUUAAGAUCCAUAUGCUUAGUAAGAAAUUGAGAAUGAUUUUUUUCAAGGAUAUUUAUUAAGUAAAGAAUAGAAGGCUGAGACUAUAAGUCUGAUUAGGAGAUAAUUAGAUGAAGUCUUUCAUCUGGACUAUUCAUUGAAUGGGGAUCCUCAGAAAUGAUGGGAUACCCAGAUACUAAAAGACUCUUUCCUGAAGCAAUGAAAGGUGAAUUCAUAAAUUGUAUUUGAUCUUUAAAAUUCAAAUAGAACUCAAAAUUACGACAUUGAUACAUGUUACGGAUGUGGUAGAUCUAGGUAUUGCUCACGCACAUCUAAUGCAAGGAACGUUGUGCCUGGAGAUAUAAAUAAUAAUGCACCAACUUAGACUGACUUGGUAGAGCCUACUUUUUCAAUGUGGAGUCCGUUGCUCGGUUCCCAUACUUGUGCACAUCUGACCACAUGACCCAUGUUGGGACCAAUGUUAUCAGAACAGGACCAAACAUAACACCGGCGAGGCAUUUCGGUCAUGGUUGGACCGAUUCAACCGCGGUCAACCCAUGUUUUUUACCUUUUUAUUUAUUCUAUUUAUUUUUUAAUUUUAUAUACUUAUAAAUUCAUCAAAAAUAAAUAAAAAAUUAAAUCAUUAAACAACAUAUGAAAAACUUCACUUUAAUCAAAAAACUAUUGAUAAUAAUAAUGUAUCUCAUCAAAAUCAUCCUCAUCACAUAAUUAAAAUAUAAAACAUAGGAAUUAGUCAGUUUACAAACAUAUAAAACAUAAUCCUCGAACGUUUAUUGAACACAAAUUUUAAAUAUAAAAUAAAAUCAUCUCGUAAUAAUCGCCCUCAUCACUCAUCAACAUCAUCCUCGUCCCUAUCUCCAUCUCCAUCUCCAUCUUGAUAUUCCUCCAAGUCAUGCUCUCCAAUAUCUACAUACAUACAUAAAAUUUCAAUCAAGCCAAUAAAUAAUAAAUACUAAUGUGUUAAAUAACUAAUUCAAAUAUAAUUUUAAACUACUUCAUAUCAUCAUCAUCAAAACUUAAAAAAAAAAAAAAAUUGUGCACUUGAUUCUCCCAUAUCUCUUGAAAAUUCUUCUAGCAAAUCCUCUCAAGCUCAUCAAAGUCAAGCUCUCAUUCUCUUUCCUUUUUCACAAUCCAAAAUACAGUUUUUUUCAAGUGAUUCAUAAUCAAUUGAAUCAUAAGAUCUCUUAGAAUUCCCCAACCUAGCAAAUUAUAAGCAAUGGUAUAAAGUUGAGGAGUAAAAUACCAAAAUAAUUUAUUGAAUAUUGUAAAACUCAUCUAUUUUUUAAUCGCAAAUUAUAGUUAACAUAAACAACAUCAUUCAAUAUUUGAUGGUCAAGUCUAUAUGUUUUCUUUGUGUGAAUCGCUCAAAUACAUUUCAUUUACACUCGCAUGCAUCCAGAAGAGGAGCAGUUUGAGCAAGGAUCUUUAUAGCCAAUUUUUGCAAUUUUGGCACAUCAAAAUCAAAUAAUCUCCACCAUUCAUCUAUUACAGUUAUCAACAUUUUUAUAUUUAUAAAUUAAAACAAGUACGAAUGAAUUAAUUGUAAUUUAAAAAAAAAAAACUAAAAAAAACCUAUAGCAUCAUAAAUUAAUAUUUACCUGGUCUAGCGGUUUUACAACGCUCAAUCGCCUUUGGACGAGAAAAGCUUUUCUCACGCUCUCGAAAAAUUCUUAACUCAUCCAGUAUUCUUAGGGCAUCGUCGUCUUCCACCUUAUCCAACACAUUAGCAAUCAACGCAUAAUCUCAGGCUUUUCGCAGUAAGAAGAUUGAUCGUACUGAAAAGCAGAGUUCAAAUAAUAUGCUGUUGCAUGGUGAUCUUUUGUCAACAUAAGAUCCCAUCUCCUGUCUAUAAUAUCAGUGUAGGGCGUGUUGAGUCUUUUCUUCUGUUUAAAAAUAUUCAUGAUCUCAUAACGUGCCCUGUUCAUGCCCUCAUAUAUAUAAGCGAAGGAUGGUUUCUCAUCAGUAUCGCAAAACCGCAACAAGCGUAUCAACGGUGGCAUAAUAUUCACGAUCAUCAAACAAUUAUCCCAAAAUUUAUCAUCCAAUACAAUUUGUUAUACUUCUUUAGCUCUUUGCACUUUCAAAUAUUUCUUAAACUCAGCGCUAAUGACCAAACUCUGCAAAUCAUCCUUAUGCGCAUGUAAACUUUGUAAAGUAAUAAAGGUAGUAGCAAAACAGGUUGCACCAGGACGGAUAAUUUCUCGCCAUCCGUCUCUCUUUAUUAGCCUAUUCAAAGUCACCUUGUGAUUGUAGACAAAUACAAUCACCUUUGAAGCAAGAAUAACUAAAAUUUGGACGGUGUCCAGCUCUCCAAAAUCUUUAAAUAUAAAAUUCACACAGCGAGCUGCACAUGGCGACCAAAAAAUGAAAGGAUAUUUCUCCGCAAGCUUACCACCCGCAACUUUAUAAUUAGCUUCAUUGUGUUGUUACCAUGUUUACAACAUUGCGAGGACAAACCCAUUCCACAAUUUCACUAAAAAACUUACAUAAUUCUUCAGUGAUUGAGCAAAUAUCAGAAGUAUCAACAGAUUUGACAAAUAAAAUUCCCUUCGGACAAUAAACUAAAAAGUUAAUCAAAAACCUCUGCCUAAUGUUUGUCCCUCCAUAUGCCAUUAUAGUGCAACCUGUGUCCUCCCAAGUUCUUCUCAUAUAAUCCAUAAUAAAUUUAACUUGCGUCUUAGAAUCACUUAGUAACUUAACACGCAAAUCAUGAUAAAAAGGAUGUUUAUAACCAAGAACCAUAUUAGCUAUUUUAUCAACAGCACCUUGAAGUAAGGUGAAUUGCAAGCAUUUAACGGGAUACAUGCAUCAUAAAAUUGUAACACAAUUGCAAAGCCAGUCUUUUUCCACAUUUUCCUUACAUUGCAUGCAUUCUCUAAUAGAAGGUUCAGAUGAAUGAGCUACCUUAUGAUUAAAUCUUAUUACACGCUUUUUUUCUUGCCAUUUGACGGCUCCUUUUGUGAAGGAAUGUCGUCACCUUCACUUGAUGAGUCUUCAAGCGCUCCUUUCUUUUCCUUACUUUUUUUACAUUAGAAUCCAAUAACCUUUUCAUUUCGAGCCAGACUUCUGAGUCAACCUUAUUGCAAGCAAAAGUAUUUCCUGUAUUUCUGACAAGAUGUAGUUUCAUUAUGUAAAUGCCUUAUUUUUUUUGUUGCAAAACAAACAAAUCAACACCUUUUUUCCUUCUGCACUUGUUCCCUCCGCAACAUAAUUCCAUGCCGCGUCCGUUUUCCCCCCCCUGAUUGAUGUAGCUGAAGAAGCUUCUGCUUGUGACGAAGUUGUAUUACUCUCAAGUUCAGCCAUAGUUUCCUAAUAAAUUAAGGGAAAAAAGGAAGAAGAUGAGUUAAAAAUCUUUUCACAGUUGAACACGACAUACUCGAAAAAUACUUCAAUUAAUUAAUGAACCUAGAUCAAGUUAUUAAUGUCUUUUGCAUUAAAAUCAUUACUGAUACACUAGAUAUGGUAUUAGAAAAUAACAUAGUCUGAUAUGUACAAUAUUAAAUGGUGAAAAAACCACAAGUUUAAACUUAAAUUUUAAAUUCACAUCAUAAGACUCAAUACAUGCAACAAUCUUAUAUGAAUGGGUUUCAUUCUAUGAUUUAAAUUAUAAAAUUCGAAUUAUUAGGUAUAAUCCGAAUUGUGGUAUGAAAAAGUUCUAUGAUUGGCAAAGAACAAAAAACAAAUAAGAAAUUUGUUGACGAAUUUAAAGUUAAACCAAAUUAUCAUCAAACGAAAAAAAAAAUUAAAAGUUGCACGAUUCACCUAAAUGAAAGAGGGUAGUGGCGGCUGACGGUUUGCAGUGCUGGCGGCAGAACGGCUGGUCCGGUCCGGUUCAUACAACCUUGGUUGGGACAUGAACUAUUGAUUUAAUGAAAUAUGCAUUACAUUCAUUUUAUUGCUCUAGUUUAUUAGUUUAUUGGAUUUCGGUCAUUUUAUUUCAUAUGCUAAUAUCAUAAGUCAUAUUUGUAUAUGGAUCAUGUUUAGGUUAUGCUAUGGAUCAUAUAUUUAUCCUACUAUAUGUUCUAAGUCAUUUAUUGUGUUAUUCCACGAGGUUUACUUGUUGAAUUUUAUUUAGUACAUGAUGUACUGAAUAUAUGCGAUUGGACUUAUAUAACCUUCGAGACGUGACAUGUGGGAAAAGAAUAUCUUCCAGAUAGUGCGACUAUGCACAUUAUCCUUAGAUAUAAGUUAUACUUUAUUCGUUUUAUGUUUAGUAAUCCUAAGACCUCUUUGACAAAAAUAUGAGGCACAUGUUACUUUCUAGAUGGUUAUGGUAAUGUCCACAUUGUGUAAUCUCAUAUUACAUUUUGAGCUAAUGGUUAUCAUGUUGACACCAUUAAAGAAAAGAAAAUCGGAUAUAUGUGCAUCACCUCUAACGUGUACGGCCAGAAGCGUACAUUGGGAAAAUUAGAGAAAUUUUCGACAACGUUAUAUGGAACCCCAAUUUGAGUGCCAGAAGUAUAAUUUGUCGAUUGCUCGAAAUCAAGUAACUUGAUCAAAUGCUAGCAUAUGCACAAACUUGUAAUGAUUUACUUGGUUUCUUGGAGGUAACCCUAUAUAUAUAUGGACUGUGUAUCACCAUCUAUAGUUGAUAGUUAGAGCCUUGCAGAUGCGAUCUCUUAACCGCUCAAAUUGUGGACUGCCACUUUGAUGAGAUUGUCUUCCUGCCGUUGGGAGGGAGGUGGGGAAGAAGAACAUCCACACUAAUUUUCAUGGAGAAAAGUGUAAAGUCGUGUGGGACGACCCCACCGUGUCUCAUCAAGAUCUCCUACAUCAGAGAACUGAUAUAUAAAUUAAUAGGUCAUCAAGACUGACAUUCUUGAAGAACGGUGCAAAGUCCUGUGCGAUGACUAUAUGGAUCUAUAAAUGACGUCCACAUUACUGUUCCUUAAGAAUGGCGUGAAGUCGUGUGGGACGAGAUCUUCCAUGCUAACAUUCUUGAAGAAUGGCGUGAAGUCAUGUGGGAUGGCUAAUAAAUCUUCAAAGAAAGUUCAUACCAAUGUUUCUGAAGAACGGCGUGAAGUCGUUGGUGAUAAAUAAUGCCAAACUCAUUCUUUAAUUUGAAAAAGUGACAAUAACAUAAAUUAGUCUGCAAGAUUAGAUGUCCUAUAAGGACAAUAUACAUGUACUCCAUCAAUCAAUGCUAAUCAGUCUUGCAUCCCUACUUAGAAGAGGGGAAAGACAAUGGGAUCAAAGGAUUUUCACCCCCGGAAGUGGAUGAAUGCCUAAAAAUUGAAUCCGAUUAGCAUUAGUACUAAUGGGAUCCUACUUGGUCUAUCUCAUGAAGUAAUUAUGUACUAUGGAUUCGCCUUGCAGACGAAGUCGGGAGGGCGUCUGGACAUCAAUAUUCGUUCCCAAGAAUAGGGUUAGUUAUUCAUGCAUGCAUUAGAUGUGAUAUCCGACUGAAAUGACCAUUGAUGACAUAUUUACUUGCAUAGUAUCUAUUGAAAUUUUAUUGAGUAACGAGAUAAUAACUCGAUCAAUUGAUAAGUGUAAACAAAGGGAUGAUAGGCUGAAAAGAGAAAAGGCAAUCCGAGCUGAAUUUAAUUUCUUGAUAAAACGAAGAGUGUAGAGAUCAAUAAUUCUUACACCUCCUUGAAUUUUACCAAAGGGAUAUAAGUGAGUACUCACAAGGAAAUAAAUGAGAUUAGGAUCCAGAAGACUCAUCUCAUACAUUAAGGAAAUAAAUGAGAUUGGGAGCCAGAAGACUCAUCUCAUAACUCAACGAAAUAAAUGAGAUUGGGAGCCAGAAGACUCAUCUCGUAGCUCAAGGACAUAAAUAAAUUGGAAGUCUGAAGACUCAUCUCAUAUCUCAAAGAAAGAAAUGAGAUUGGGAGCCAAAAGAAUCUCAUAGUGCAAGGAAAUAAAUGAGAUUGGGAGCUAGAAGACUAAUCUCAGAGUACAAUGGUUUAUGAGAAAAUGAGAUUUGGAGGUAGAAGACUCAUCUCAUAGCUCAAGAACUUCCUCAGAGAUUUGAGAUUAGCUUUGAAAAGAUAUACUAUCUCGCGAUGAAUGUUAUUACAUUCACAUAUUCAGUUGGUUUACAUAUAUCUUAGAAACUAACUAUGCAUCUUAUGGAGGUGGUCAAACCAUAUCUUUAUGGGGAUAUAUAGAAAAAUAUUUAUAAGAAAAUCGCUGAAGGACUCUAAUUUUUCGAAGCUAUUAGUUUCACACUACAGAAACAUAAACUCAUUUCACCUGAGCCGUUCACUUUAUGGCUUGAAAUAUUCCGGAAGAAUGUAGGAUAUUUUCCUAAGUGGACACUUGCUCGGAAAGAAAAUAUGUGAGCGAUAAUGGGUUUUGAUUGUUCCUAUUACUACAGCUUAUGUCGAGGACAUGAACUUGAUUGGGACUCCUGAAGAAGUCAAGUAAACAACUCAAUUCUUGAAAUUUGAGUUCGAGAUCAAAGAUUUGUUGUCUCUGUAGACUUAAAACUUAUCAUGUCGAUUAGAUUUGUGUCCAUCAAUUAAAUUACAUCCUGGAAGAUGUUAACACACUUUAAGAUGGAUAAAGUAAAAUUAUCGAGUAACACCUAUGGAAGUGCGAUAAUUGAAUAAGUGAAAUGAUUGAUUCAACCCCAUAAGGACCAUGACAUGUUAGUACCAGAAGUGUCAUAUCUAAAUGCACUAUGUGCAUUAUUGUAUUUAACUUCAUGUACUUUAUAUGAUUUAGCAUUUUUGAUAAAUUUGUUGGAUAGACUUAGCUCACCUCAUUGACACACCAUAUGCAUCACUGAAUGAUACAAAGAUUGCGGUUUAUAAUGACAUUGACUAAAAGUCUUACCCACACCAGGCUCGUUUCCAAAAUUUAUGGAUUUAAUAUUGGAUAGACUUAACUAGGUCGAAUCAUGCAUAAACUUUGCUUCACGAGAUAGUGCGUGAAUGCACAUGGCUUGAAGUCAUGAUUGGCCAUGUUCGAGAUCCAGGGAAUUGACAAACACAAAAGGUCAAACGAGAUUGUAUUUGACUGUAAUGAAAAAUGGAAGAGGGGCUUCAUUAAAUGUGACAACACCAAGCACAUAGCUCUGAGGUUUUCUUCAAUCAUCAACAACACCAGCUUAACAAAUAAUGAUCCAACAGAUCAUAAGUCAGAAUAAUCACGCUGACUUAUUAGCUAAGUUUUUUGCUCAAUUGAAAAACAUUUUAAGGCUAUCGACUUGCGUAUAUUAUCCUAGUUCGCUCCAUUGUAGACAUCACGGGAAGUAAACUUGAGGAGCAGUACCACGUAGAUACUUAGUAUCCAGAAGAUACCCAAGCGCUCUAUUGUACUCUUUUUCCUUCGUGCGAGGUAAUUUUUCCCACGGAGUUUUCGUUACUCGUCAAGGUUUUAAAGAGGCAACAUUUGUUGAUUGAAAAGAUUGUGCGUUGUACUCUUUUUCCUGACCGGUGUUGUUUUUUCCCACUGUUUUUUUAUUACACCGAAGAUUUUAACGAGGUAACACGAAAACCACAGUAGUGCUUUGAUAGGAAUCCCAAAAGGGGGAGUGUUAUAAAUAAUGUGGAAAACAGUUCUUCCUAACUUAACCAUUUUGAGGUUUCUCAACCUCCCAUUAGCGUGAGCAUCACUUCUUAAUCCCAAGAUGUGUGUAGGAGAUAACUACCUUGUAACUCCCACAUGUAACUUCUCUCUAUAACUUUCGGCAAUUACCACUUAUAUAAAUGAGAAAAAUUCCCUUACUAUUUGACAUCCACAAUAAUCUCUCUAAUGUCUCUCUUGUUAUUACUUUUUCUUUUGAAUAAUCUCUUGUUAUUACUUUCAUGUAAUACUAUUCUACAAUCAACAAACUAAAUAGCUAGUUAAAUAGGUUAUUUAAAACGGUACAAAUAUUUCAAUUCUGUUUCUCUUUAGUUGAAAAUUUAUGCACAUAAAAUUGUUAUUUUAAACUAUGUCUGAGAAAAUUAUUUAUAUAUUUAUAUAUUUCGUCUAUUUUUUUUGACAGAAUAUUUUACAUAAUUUCAGAAAUUAUGUUUUUAUAUUGUACAUUUGAUAUAAUUUAUUUGUAAUUUUACUUUGGGUGAUUUAAAAAAUAAAUUACAGUCCUUGUGUUAAUGUUAAUGUCAAUUUUAGUGACAAAUAUACUGGUCGAAAUAUAUAUUACAAAAUAGUUACUUUAUAGUUUAUAUAUACAAAAAAAUUUAAAAACUCUGUUGAACUGGUUCAACCAUAACACAGUGAACUGUCUAGUUCUUUGUCAGCUCAUGUUUUAAAAACAUUGGUCAUAGGUAGAACGGAAAGAAGAAGCAUAUCGAUGAUACCAUACACUGGUGGAAUGGUGGAAUAAAAUCCGGUAGAUGGAAUGGAUAUUGUAAGAAACUAUAUUAUAUUCUGGGGUUAUGGCAAAGAGGCCCAUGACAAGGGCACUUAAUUAAGAAAUAGACAUCCAACUUUUUUGUCUUUCAAAUAAUUCUAGCUCAUUCAAACUUAUUUUCAAAUAAGGAAAGCGCUUUGAUAUAUACCAAAAUUACCCCCAAUUCCUUGAAACCCAAUUAACCUCCAAUUUUAUGAUUUACAUCCCAAUUUAGCCAAAUUUCAUCAAUUAACCAAUUUUGACCAGCCACCGCCGGAGACCAGCGGUCUCCGGCGUUGACUUUUUUUUUAUUUUUUUAUGAAUUUUUUUCCGGCAGGUCAACCGCCGGUCUCCGGCGUUGACCUUUUUUUUUGUGAAAUUUUUUUUUUCUAAAUUUUUUUUCCGGCAGGUUAACUGUCGGUCUCCCGCGUUGACUUUUUAAAAAAAAAAAUUUCUUAAAACAAAUUAUUUUAAUUAAUAUUAUUGUCUUGGCUGCUAAAUUAUUGUCUCCAACAGUAGUAAUUUAACUAUCAGAGACACUAAUUUAACUUUAAUUGACUUUUUCUUUUGAAAUUUUGUUUUUUCUUAAAAAAUAAUUUAUUUUACAGUCCGAGACAGUUAUUUUACUGUAUUAAUUAAUUUUAUCGUCUUGGCCUGCAAUUUUACUGUCUUCGACCGUAAUAUUACUGCACCGGAAUAUUACUGUCUCAUGCAAUAUUAUUAAUGUUGGGGACAUUAAUAUUACUAUUCGGGAAAGUAACAUUCAUAAUAUUACUGUCCCAUACAGUAAUAUUACAGUCGGAGAUAGUAAUUUUACUGUUUGGGGCAGUAAUAUUACUGUUUGGGACAGUAAUAUUAGUGAUAUUACUGUUUUAUUAUUUAAUAUUACUAUUUUAGACAAUAACUUUGUUGUUAAGACAGUAGUUUAGAGAGAGAGAAAGGGAUUAUUUGACAAAUCCCCCUCAUUAGGCUCUUCCAAUUACAAUGAGUCCAAAAAAAAGUGUAUUUUUAAGGUAAAUCCAAAACAAUUUUAAUUAGUAAAAAUUAAUACAGUAUCACGAUUAUACCCUUUCUCAUAUCACGUUUCUUUUUAUUUUAUACCUUAGCUCUUAUGUCUUUCUAUGUUAUGUCCCACACCCAAACCCUAGAUCUUAUACUUGACGACCGCAACCAAUACCCCAUUUACCCACGCUGCCCCGCCUGACGACCGCAACCUCCUCCUCCUCAACGACACCUCUCGUUCCACCAUCAUCGCUCCCCACAUACGCCCGUGCGUCGCCGGCCCCUUUCUCUUCCCUCUCCACCACUGCGCCCCUCUUUCCUCUCUCUCCACUGCCACGCAACCUCCUCUAUUAGUGAACGAGGUCAAUGAAUUGGAGGAGACUGCACUUUUUACAACGUCGAGGCCAUCAUGGUAAUUUCACUCUUUCUUAACUUGUGCUCAAUGGUAGAUCAGUGUUUAUGAAUUCUGUUUGAAUUGGCAGGUCGUUUCGUGUAUGUGAUGAUUAAUUGGGUCAUAAGAUAUGAAUUUCAUAGGAUAUGGAUGAUAUUUAUUCAAGAAUAUAUUGCAUAAAAUAUGCUUUUCAUGUGUGUUAUUGUGUGUGUGCAUAACUCAGUGUGAGUAAAUUGCAAUUCUGGAGAAAGGAAAAAAAAAACGUCAAUUUGUUUUUUAAAUUAGUUAGCGGCUAGGCAUUAUACUAGAAUUUUAGGACAGUAGUAUAAAACAUAUUGAAUGAUUUUCUUAAUAUUAGUGGAUUCGUUAAUUUCUAAUUGAUUUCGGCAAGUUUUUAGUGGGUUUCGUUAUAAUUGGAGUGGAUUUUGUCUUUAAAAAGAGGAUUUUUUUUUGUAGUGGAUUAGGUUAAUUUCGUAGUGGAUUACGUUAAUAUUUUAGUGGUUUUUAUAUUUUAUAGUAGUUUUUGAUGAAUUUAACUGUAGUGGAUUUCGUUACUUUCUAGUUGGUUUCGUUAUAAUUGGAGUGGAUUUUGUCUUUGAAAAGAUGAAUUUUUUUCGGUAGUGGAUUAUGUUAAUUUCGUAGUGGAUUACGUUAAUAUUUUAUUGUUUUCUAUAUUUAUAGUGGUUUUUUAUGAGCUUAAUAGUAGUGGGUUUUGUUAAUAUUAGUGGAUUUCGUUAAUUUCUAGUUGAUUUCACUAAGUUUUUAGUGGAUUUCGAUAUAAUUUGAGUGGAUUUUGUCUUCGAAAAGAGAAUUUUUUUUUCGCAGUGGAUUAGGUCAAUUUCGUAGUGGUUUUUACUUUCAGAAUGGAUUUUUUUCGUAUGAAUUAAACUGACACGUUGUUGUCUCCUUUUUCUUUGUGUUAGAUUUUUGAACAGGCGGUGAUAGCACACACAAGAGUGAUUAGAUUGGGUGAUGCUCGAGUAACUUUACUAUUUGUUAGUGGUGGCGGCGUUUGUUGGUGUCUUUAAAAAUAAACACACUGUAAUAGUAGUAAUUUUGUUAGAAUUGUUAAAACUAGUUGUUUUUCUCCUCCCAAAACAUAUUGUCUUUCUUUCAGUACCGAUGAUUUGCUUAUCUACAUUAGAUGAUGUUGACUACGGAAGAUUUAUAGUUAAUUACAUUAAUUUCAUAGUGGAUUAAAUUAAUUUUUUUUUUGAUUAUGUUAAUUUCAUGGUGGAUUUCGAUAAAUUUAUAGUGGAUUUCGAUAAGUAUGUAGCGAAUUUCAAUUUGAUAACCUGGUAAAAAAAAUUAAAAAAAAAAUAUUAUUUAAAAAAACAUUAAAAAAAGGAAAUUUAGCUUUAUAAUCAAAAUUGAAAAAAGAUUAAAUAAAACAUUUUUUUCCAAAAAAAAUGGAAAACAAAAUCGAAAAAACCAUUUCGAAAAAAUGAAAUUAAAAAAAUUGAAAUAAAGAAAAACUGAAAAUAAAACAAAACAAUUAAAAUGAACAAAUGAAUAAUAUAAAUAAGAAAAAACUAAUUCAAAAUAAAAAUAGAAAAUAAAAAUCAAACAAAAUUAAAAUAAAUAUAAAAAAUAAAGAAAUCCAAAAAGACACUAAAUGGAGGUAAUCUACAUCUAAUGAGUUUAGUUAGGGCAUUUUGGGUAGUUUGUGUCAGUUUGGUUUAUAUCAAAAUUAGAAUAAAAUUUGGAUUAAUCAAGAAGUUAAAAUUCAAUGAGGGAUUUUUAUCAAUUAGCCCCGAAAUUUUUUUUUAGAAAAAAAUAAAAAGAGUCAACGUUGGAGACAGUAAUAUUACUGUCUCAGACAGUUAAAUUACUGUCUCAUAUAGUUAAAUUACUGUCGGAGACAGUAAUUUAGCAGCCAAGACAGUAAUACUAAUUAAAAUAUUAAAAAAAAAAAAGUCAACGGCAGAGACCGGCUGGAAAAAAAAUUCAGAAAAAAAAAAGUUUUCGAAAAAAAAAGAAAAUAAAAAAAGGUCAACGCUGGAAUCUGGCCGGAAAAAAAAUUUCAAAAAAUAAAAUAAAAUUAUUUUCUGAAAAAAAGUUAUGUUUUAAAAAAAAUAUGAAAAUGGGGGUUAAUGUGAUAUAUUUGUUUAAAUUCGGGGUUAAUGUGUAAUAUUGAGGAAGUUAGAGUAUAAUGGAUGGAAUUGAUAAAAAUUAUAUUAUGGAGAGUAUUUUGGACAAAAGACAUGGGGAUGAGUUUAUUUGAAAGACUGUUUUUUGUCUGGACCAAUGUGCAUUUAAAUCCAUUGUCAUGUCUCUCUUUGUCAUUUGCCCUAUAUUCUGACCAUUAUUUGUGACACAUAUUCUUCUACUUUCCAUUAUCUCUACCAUCUAUCAAUUCAUGAUUUAUUUUGUUUCUUAACAUUUUUGUACUUCCUAUUAUGUCCCUUAUAAACUAGGGAUAAUUUGUGAAAACCCCCCACAUCACUUACAUAUAUUAGGGUGGAUAUAACCUUUUUUUUAAUAUUAGUCAAACCCCCCUUCAUUAUUAAAUUUAAUUAUUCUUUUUAAAACUGGUAUGAAUAAUAUCUAAUUUGCCUUUAAUGCUAUAUUAUUUCACAUCUGCCCUAAUUUUAUUACGCCAUUCAACCGCCUCCAUCUUUUUCUCUCUGAUUACUGUCAUUCUCUCCAUACCCCAUUCCGUCUCUUUUCUCUCUCCUCAAUAAAUCCAUGGUGCAGACAAGAACCACUCCAUCGUAGCCUCCACCACCCACCAUUGAAAAGCAUAGCAUGAGCCGAUGACUUUAGGAAUAGCCUCAAGGAUGCGCUCGUAUCGCUCUUCACUCCCUCAACAUUGAUGUCCAAGCCGCCAGAUCUGAAGUUCUCGUCCCGCCGCCGCCGCCAUCGCUCCGAUCUCGAUUUAGUUGUAGAAGACGACAUAAAAAAACUCAAAAAUCCCUCCCUACCUCCACCUCUCAACUCCACCGCCGGAUAUAGAGACUUUGCCGCCGCCGCCUCUGCCCUGUCGUCGCCAUCGUUCUGAUUUUUUUGAUUUUUUUUUUUGUGAUGCUUUUGAUGUUAGCUAUUUUUACAGCAAAAUAGUUGUUUUUAUUAUUCGGCUAUUUUUUAUAGCUGUUUUCGUUAUCCUGCUAUUUCUUUUAGUUGUUUUUGAUAGUUUUAGUUGUUUUCGACUUUUUUGAUUGAUUUUCAAGUUUUUGGUAGUUGAUUUUGAUUUUUUAUUUUUUUAUCCAAUUAUAUGACCUACUGGAAAAAUAAAAAUAUUAAAUUAAAAAAAUUAUUUGAUGUAUUUUUAGUUGUUUUCGAAAUUUUUAGUUGAUUUUGAUUUUUUAUAGUUAUUUCAAUAAAAUGUAGUAAUUUUUCAAUUUGGUAAAUUAGUUGGGAAAAAAAUUCGUUUUGAAUUCAAAAUAAAUGAUAUGAAAAAAAAACGAAGCUUUUUAGUUGAUUUUCAGAAAAAAAUUAGUCGAUUUGGAAAAUAUUAUAGUUGAUUUUGGAGAAACGAAACUAAAAAAAUGUUGAAAAUAAUAUUAUUUUUUAGUUAUUAAAAAAUAUUUAAAACACUAUUUUUUUUAAAUAAACAAAAAGAAAAUUAAAAUAGAAAAUAGAAAAGAAAUAAAAAAAAGGUAUGUGCAUCAAAUAAUAGGGAAGGGUAAAUUUGAUAAUAAAUAAAUCUAGGUUUAUCACUAAUAAAGAAAAAGUGACUAUCCAUCAUAAUUAAAAAAAUGCUAGAGGGGGUUUUCACUAAUAGAUCUAUAAACUAACUUACACUAUUAAAUAGUUAGAGUCAAUUGUGUAAUAAAAAUAAUGAAAUAUCAAGUGUCUUUCAUUUGCUCAAAUAUUGACACAAGUUAUGAUAGUUGAUUUUCUACAUAAUAUUUUUUGAGAUAAAAUUCACUUCCGCUUAAACUAGAUUCAAAGAGCUUUACAAUGACAUACUAUAAGCAUAUAUGUAGAAAUUGGUUUUUCAUUUUAUACAUAAAGUAGUUUUGAAUUUUAAAUUAAUUAUUAUUUAUUACGUAUAUUCCACAAAUAUGAUAACGUGAUAUUGUUUUGUGUCUUACCUUUUCAUAUAUUUUAUUUGUAUAAUCAAUUUUUUUCUAUGUAAAAUAAAAUGAUAAUGAAACAUGACUGGUAUUGUUAAAAAAAACUUGAAAUUUAAACGUGGAUAUAAUAAUCAUAAAUUUAAAGGUACGGAUUAUAUUAAAAAAAAAAAAAAACUUUGCACACUCGAAAUAUAUAUUUUUGGAACUUUGCACCACAAAAAAAAAUUAAUAGCACAUUGUACCCUUAAAAGGUAAUAAAUAAUUCACAUUGCAACCCCAACUGAUAUUUUAAUAAAAUGUCUCAAUAAUUAUUUUUUCAUAGGCAUUGAUACAAAAAAAUGUGGAUUUUAAUUUAUAUAACAAAGUUUAAUUUUCAUGUACUUUUAGUAAGAAAAUAAUUUAAUAGUGAAUGAAAAUAAACAAUUUAACUUAACACUUUCUAGCACAAAAAUAAGUACUACUUGAGAGAUGAAAAUACCCUCAAUAAAUACACCAUACAAAAGUAUGGGGUUAUAUGAGAUAACCCCCUGAUGCAAGAUUCUUGGAGGCUUAAAUCCAAUUUUUAAUUCACAAUUAGGGAUAACCCCCUCAUUGAUCAUAAUACCUCAUUUACCCUUAUUAUAUUCAUAAAAUAUAUAAUUAAAUUAGUUUUACAUAAAUCAAAUCCCGCUAAUUUGGAUUCCACUACUAAUCUCUCUCCCAAAAUAACUCCCCUCAAAUCUCGGUAUACAGAAAAUAAAUAUCCACAAGGAAAAAAACAUUUCUUCUCUGAUUUACACAUCGCCACUUCCAUGGCUGCCCCGAGAACUCAAAAAAUCUUAAGUGGGCAUGACAAAAUAGUGGGUUUGCCAUAAACCCCUUUAUCAGAUUAUUGAAGCGGUUUGUACAACCGGCCGUCGAAUUAAUCCCCCUUGAAAACGUAAGUUUAUUAUCCCUGUUUUUGUAUCUCUGAAAUUUUCAGCCCUUUGAACAAAAAAGAAAAGUGGAGGGGUUCGUAUUUUGAUUUCAAAAAAAAAAAACUAUUUUAAUUUUUUUUGUGUUGAUUUAAACUGCAUACAACUGAAUAUUUUUUUUUGGUAAUGCAGCACUAUAUCGAUCAAAGAGACAAAAUAGUGCUAAAAACAACACCGAAACGUAGGUUUCUCAUUUAUAAAUAAGUUUUAGAUCCCCUGUUUUAUAUAAUCUGCUAAUUUUGUUUUAAUUUUUGAUCUGCAUGUACUCCUUUUGGACAACUCGGGAGCAGGAAAAAGAAAAUCAAUAGCAAACAAUGAUAUUAUGAGUUUGGAUGCUGGUACGUAUUAAACAUUGUGGGAUACUACUUUUCGUUAAUUUUAUGAUCGGUGGUUAUCUUAUAUUGCAACAUUUUUUUAGAAAAUCUAGAGUGACAGUACUACAUUGCAAAUUAGGUGUCAGAUGGGUUUAAUUUUAUGUAGGUGUUUUGUCUGUGCUAAAACAUAUGUAGUAAAAUCUAUUAAAUUGGAAUGCAUCAAGUAAUAUGCCAAUGAACAAUCUAUUUAAUGAUUUGUUACCUAAAAUCAUUAGAUUAUCAUUUUGAUAUAAUGUAUUGAUUUCAAUUUUUUGUCUUCUAAAAUAAUGAGGCAGUGAACAUGGUGUUGUUCUUUUGACCAUGGUGACUUUGUAAACAAAUCAAUUGAGAGUAGGUGUUAUUAACCAAAACAUUGGACUUUAUGAAAUUAUGAAUUUGAAAAUAGGGGAAUUUAUUAAACAAAUCAGGGGACUUCAUGCAUUAGUGAUGUUAAUAAACAAAACAGGGGACUUUAGUAAUAUAUAUGCAUUUGAAAAUAGUGUAUUAGUUGAGCCAAACAUCUUGUAUAGUAUUUUGUAUAAAUAAGUGUUUUUUAUAAUGAAAUAGUAGUUUUUUUACAAAUAUUGCAUUAUGUGAACGAAACAUCCUAUAUAGUAAUAAACAAAACAGGGGACGUUAGUAAUAUAUAUGCAUUUGAAAAAAGUGGAUUAGUUGAGCCAAAUAUCUUGUAUAGUAUUUUGUAUAAAUAAGUGUUUUUUAUAAUGCAAUAGUAGUUUUUUGUACGAAUAUUGCAUUAUGUGAAUCAAACAUCCUCUAUUGUUUUUUGACAAAUAACUUUUUGCCAUAAUGUACGCAUGGCAACAUUAUGCAUAAGCCGUGCUAAAUGUCCAUACGUUACGCGUUAGACUACUGUUAAAUCACGAAUAAAUUGUGCAGUAGUUUUUGGUGAUUCAUUUUAUAUUGUAUUUUAAAUGUUGUAGUUCUUGUGUUCCAUUUAAUUUGCACAGGUGAGCUGAAGAAACUUCCUAUCAAUGCACGUAAAGAACAGACAUGGACACACCAAUUACAUACGCACUAGGUGUUAAAAACAUUCCCAAUAUGCGCAAAGAAAUCGUAGAAAAAUUCCUUAAAUGGGGUCGUGAUAAGGACUACAGUAAACGUCGGAUGUGAGAUACUAGCUUAUGACCAUUACUAGGAAGCUAUUCUGAAAUUUGUUUUGGAUUUUUUUUUGUUUCUGCUUGCAUUGGUUUUUGAUCAGUUUUAUUGAAGUACUUUGUUAUGUUUUGACAUCUAGCGUUGUUUAGUUUUUUGGGUAUCCUAUGCUGCUAAGUCAAUUAAAGAUAUUUGCAAUGUAAUAUGAAUUUUUGAAGUUAAUUAUAUAUGGCAAAACUUAGGUUUUCGUUUUCGUAUGUGUUGACAAAUGUUUCUGGUGAAUAUGUAUAAUCUAGUGUCUAUUAAUGUGAAAGACACAAUAAAGUAACCCAUAUAUCAAAAGGACUAUAAGCACGUAAUCUGCUAUUUUGUAUGAUUCAGAUGACAGACAGUGUAGCGCUUAUAUGAAACUGUAUCAACACCGAAACCACUAUUUAACAAUUAUACUUAAUACACUACACCAAAUGCCUUAUGUAUUUAACAAAUAUGUGAGGCAAAUGGUUAUGAAAAUAUAUAUAAAAUGUAUAAUGUAUACGUAAUCCCCUAUACGUAAUCAACCAAUUGCUAUUUGAAUUCAUUUACACUGAUAACUAUUUGUACCAAAACCACUAGUUUUUCACUUAAACCACUAUUUAUUCCAAAACCACUAUAAGUAUAGUACCAAAACCACUAUUUGAAUUCAUUUACAUUGAUAACUAUCAGUACCAAAACCACUAUACGUAAUCAACUAAUUGCUAUUUGAAUUCAUUUACAUUGAUAACUAGUAGUACCAAAACCACUAUACGUAAUCAACUAAUUGCUAUUUAUUCCAAAACCACUAUUUGAAUUCAUUUACAUUGGUAACCAUCAGUACCAAAACCACUAUACGUAAUCAACUAAUUGCUAUUUGAAGUCAUUUACAUUGAUAACUAUUAGUACCAAAACUACUAGUUUUUCACUUAAACCACUAUUUAUUCCAUAUAUUGAUGCUAUACAUAUAUGUGGAAGUAUAUAUAUUGUCAAACCCAAAUAUGGAUACAACACUAAGCAGUGCAUCUAAUAAUCACUACUAGAAAAUUGGGUUUUAAUGACACCUUAACGACACCUUGUUAUGACAUGCUCUAAAAUUGGCCACAAUAGGUAUUCUAUUGAGACGCCUCUACGGAUACCUAUUUGUUUUUUUCCUUUUUAAUGUUUAAAAAAUAUAUUUAAUGACGCUUUUGAAUAUAUAACAAAUAUUUGUGUCGUAAUUACAUUAUCCAAUAUUUAGUAGUUCAAUUCAGAUUAUAUACACUAUUUAGUACAUAAUCCACUAUUUUGUAUGAUUUAGAUGACAGACAGUGUAGUUCUUAUAUGGAACUUUAUACACACUAAUACCACUAUUUAACAGUUAUACUUAAGCCACUAUACCUAAUGCCUUAUGUAUUCAACAAAUUUGUGAGGCAAAUGGUUAUGAAAAUAUAUAUAAUAUGUAUAAUGUAUACGUAAUCCACUAUACAUAAUAAACUAAUUGGUAUUUGAACUCAUUUACAUUGAUAACUAUCAGUAACAAAACACUAGUUUUUCACUUAAACAACUAUUUAUUCCACAAAUUGAUGCUAUAUAGAUACGUGGAAGUAUAUAUAUUGUCAAACCCAAAUAUGCAUAAAACACUGAGCAGUGCAUCUAAUAAUGAAUAUAUAAUAAAUAUUUGUGUCGUAAUCGUAUUAUCCAAUAGUCAUAAAUACUAAACACAGAUUAUAUGCACAUAAUCAGUUAUACGUAAGGAACACUUCCGAAAUCAUAUUAAAUCCAAAACAAAGUUUAUUUAGAAUAAUUGUUCAACAGAGUAUCAGGGCAACUAAUACGAAACAAGACUUGUAAUGAAAUUUCUUAAUAGCAAAUAAAUAAAAAACUUGAGUGUAUAAAAGAUAAUUAUUAAUUUGCACCCCAAUUGCACGACUUUUUGUUAUGUUUUCCAAUUGCCUUACACCUGCCACAUCUAAUCUUCCGAGGCAUUAUCUCACCCCUUGAUGGAAUCCUCUUUCUUUCUGUCCUUCCACGACGCUUGUGGUGCUCAGGGAGACCUAUAAUUGCAAAUCCAGGAUCAAGUGUAUGUUGCACGAACGGUAAAACUGAAUUAGAAUAACACUGCCUAAAUGUCGACAUAUGAUAACAAUGGUCAAUAUAUUGAUAUGCUUCACCCAUCAUCAAAAAGAUGACAACAGCCGCAUGCUCACACGGUAUCCCGUUAAUCUACCAAGACAUGCAAGAACACGUUGUUGGGGAUCGUGCAUGUAUACGCAGCGGAAUUUAAAAAAUUUAGAUCGAACUAGUUUCGAUCACAUGCAUGAACUAAUCACAUAGUCAACGUACCUUAACGCUUCCGCCAUACACAUGGUAAUUUUCGAUUUUAUUAAAACAUGUAAAACCGAAAAAUAUAAAACAUGCCUGUUCAUCAUAUUGCAAAAAUCGAAACACGUAAUCACAUAUUACUCAUGCUCGUAAAUUAAAAUUCACACAAACAUGUUCGAAUCAAAUUUACGAAAGUUCCGAUUUAAUUACCUCUUGUAGCGUGAGAUUUCGACGAAUCGAAAUCCGAACUCAAACCCGUACAAGCUGCGUUAUACCAAUCCUAGGGGCUGCAGGAAUACCACCAAACAGCAGCUGGUCCGAUGGUGAGGCGACGGCGGCGCGUGCGAAUCAGCGGCGGCGGCGCGUGGGGGGUGCAGCGAUGUCUUCGGGGCUGCAGCUCCUCUCCAAUCAGGUUUCACCUCGAAUAAACCGAUCUCCCCCUACUGUAGCACUAGAUACAAAGGGGUUAGAUAACAAGGAAAAUACGAGAGAAAAAGAAGAGAAAACCGGCGGUUUUCGGCGGGGAACGGCGCCGGUGCGACGGGGCAGCGGCGGCCGAGAGGCUUGGGCGGCUAGGGCUGGACGGCUAGGGUUGUGGGAGUAAAAUAUCUGAACUCAAACUCUUGUUUGAGGUCUAUUUAUACUAGGGUUCUCAACCCUUGUGGGCUUAAGUCAUUGGGCUUGACCCACUGAUGCAUUAAGCCCAUUCCCUCGUCGGCCUCGUUUCUAGCAAACGAUCGUUCACAAAAUUAUAACAAAAUUAUAUUUGUGACGAGCUUAAAGUCCUCGUCGAUACGAGUGCCUCUUCGAAAUUUCCAAUUUCCAAAAGUGGAAACUUCCACUUCAGUGGACCUGUUAAAUCGGAAAACUUCCCAAUUUAGAAAGUUCACUAAAUUCCGCAUGUCUCUUUCUCUACGUUUAUUCCGACUCGUAAUCCACAAUCACGAAUCUUGGACUCAAUCAUAUUGACCUCCAACUUUGCAAAGAUUAACAUAUUAACCUAUGCUCAUUGUUAUCAAGGAUCCGUAUUACACGAGAAGUGUGACCCUCAAUGGUUCAGGUGUAUGCUAGCCGUGGGCUCACAACUCUUUGUGAUUCGAACAACACAUUGUUCUUAUACGAACUCCUCCCAAGAGUCCCGAUUAGAGUAAAACUCAUUUUACUUAAUCGCCGAUCAAAUCGGUGCCCAACGAAUCAAGAUUGGCGUCUAGCAACUACGCAUCAUGAUUCCCUAGAUACAAGUGAAGUGCCUGAAAGAACCUUAUGAUAUAGUUAGCGUACAGUACGAUCCCUUCGCAGCACAUGUCCCGAUUGAACUAGAGGCAUUGGUUCACCGAGACCUCUUAUAAAGUUCAAUAACCGUGCGAACGUUCUAGGUAUUAUAAAUCCGUUCGUGUGUGAGUUAGGGAAACACAUUUCCCUAAUCACCCCACUAUCAACUCUGGCCAGAGAUUCCUUGGAUUAUAAACCGUUAGAACACACAGGACAUCCAUGAUUACUCAAGCGCUCGAAUCCCCUACUACAAUGCACAGACUUCACACUAGAUUUCGGAUUGCACGAACGUUGGCCCUUGGAGUGGUCCGCUGUGGGACUCAGGGACAGGUCACGAUACAAUCGGUCCUCUAGUGAAGUCACGGUGAUGUCUGGGUCUUAAGGACUAAUGGUGUACAACUAUAUCUUAGAAACCUAUUACUCGAUGAAUGAGAACCACUUAUAGAUUUCUAGGGCGAGGGAGUUCAGUGAACUCAUCUAAUAUGAGCACCCACUCAAGUAUGCCGAUGUCACAACACCGAGGACUGAUGAGACGCAGUACACAUACACUAAGUGCUAGUCUCAAAAGGGAAAGGCCGGUAUCCUAAUUAUUGGCGUAACCCAUCGACUAGGAACAAGGUUUAACAGUUACAUUACAUUGCUGAGUUAUCUCAUGGUUCUACUAGAUCAACUCACAGUAAUAGAGUAACUCGUUAGGACUAUAUCUAUGCUACUUGCAUGGGAUAAGAGAUAUAGAAUGCCAAAUGAAAUAUUUUAUUAUUACGAACGAAAAACGAUUGUUUUAUUACAAGAAAAAAGGAAAGACCACAGCCACAAGUUGGCUUGUUGGUCACCUACUCUAACACACGUCCCCUCCCGUACAUGAACUACAACAUUUAUUCGGAAGACUUUCUCACAAGCCAAGAUCGGCCUUUAUCUACCGCAUCCCUGACUUGUGUGUCAACGUGGUCGCACAAUACAGAUUCCCAAGCUGCCGCCUCGUCGCGUCUACCCGCAAUCUGCUCCAUCAACAAGAUCCGAAUCCCAUCAAUCAGAGUAGUAAUGGAAAGUAAUCUUCUCAUUUUAAUCUGUGAAUUCCACGAUUCGCAGCCAUUUGACGUCAUUUGACCGUACCGCUGCCCAACAAAAAACGCAUUGGACCAUUUUUCAUACGCUGUGCUCACCCAAUUCAGACGAAUUUUGUUUUGAAAAGCGUUAUGUGUUUAGUCGAGUAAGGCAGAAGAAGAAUAUCAACAAUACUCUGUAAAAUUGUGAUAUCUUUUCAGAUUGUUUUAUGAAAUUUAAUUAAUCUCUGUGAAACGGUGUACCCAUAAAAGAAUGGACGAGAUAUGAGAGAGAUAUUAUUUUAGACGUGAGAACGUGCACAAAAAUAACGGAACGAUUCAUUAAUUGAAAAAAUCGAUAUUUUCUUAAAGGAAAAAAUGUAUUGUCCAUAUAUAAAUAGGGGUAAUAUAGAAAUAUCAUAAAUAAAAUAUCUGUUAAAAUAUAAUUUGGAUUUAUCUCAAAAAGGGGAAUAUUUUUUGGGCCUAUACUAAGUGCAAAUAGCAUAUGGGGGGUUAUAUCAAAUAAUCCCCAAAAGUAUUUCACAUCUUGUUACAAAGUACUACAAUUUAAUUUUUCCACCCUUCAACUACUUUUUCACAAAAUUACAUAGAAAAAAAUAUAUUUUCAUACUUCAAAAAAAAAAAAAAAAACAAUAUACUUUCACCAAUUCCAAUAAAAUUAGAGACAUACCUAUUCAAUAAUUUCAUAAUUUUAUUAUGAAAAUUCUUUUAUUGGAAUGAUAUUUGAUCACUCCGAAGAAAAUUUUCAUUUCAAAAUGCUACUAAAAGAUGAAAUUAUCCUCAUUAACCUUAAAAUUUCAAUAGGAUGCAAUAUGAAUGAUUUAAUACCUUUCGAGGUACAUAGCACUAAUUUAUUUUCGGGGGUGCCAAGUGUGAAAAUGAUAUAUUCCGAGGGUGCAAAAUGGAAAUAAGCAAAAUAUUUAAUAUAAUUUAUGUUGUAUAUUUUUAAAUAGUAAUAAUUUUCUAAUAUAAUUUAUUUAUCAAAAAUAUAUUAUAAAAAUAUUAUUUGAUUAUUAGUAAUUAAAUAAUUCAAAUUCUAAUUAAAUUAUACUUAAGAGGUGUAUCUUUAAUAUAAUAUUUAUUUAUUUUUAAAUGUGAGAGGUACGGUGUAUAUGUAUGUAAUUAGACAUAAUCUCAUGGGAGGUCACUAUAAUAACUCAAUAUAUGGUCAAUGGUAAAAAUAUAGUUUCAAAAACAUCAAUGUUCACUAUAAUUACUCAUUUACCUUUUCUUUGUAAGAAAAUUAUUGGUGAAACUGAAGAUCGAUAACUAUUAUGACUUCAGUCACAAGCAUAUCUCACUUAAACUUUCAAUAAUAAUAAAAAAAAAAUAUUAUGAUGAUAUUACAACACCAAGGUAACAAUAAAAUUAUAAAUUAUGCACUAAUUAUUACCUAUAAGUAGUUAAAUUGUAUAUUAUUACAUAUGUUUCACAUGUCAUAUAUGAAUUGACUAACUCAAGAUACUUGAACAAAUAUGUCCUAUUGUAUUGAGUUGUCUCUGGCUCGUUGUUUUUUCACUUAAUACUAUUUUAUAAUUCAAAUCUUCAUUUAGCUGAAUUAAUUUUGAUCUUGAAAAUACUUAAUUCACUUUAUGUUAUAUACUAUUGGAUAAUAUACUAUUUUUCAUCAAUGAACCUUCCUACAUUAGAAUCUCAAAUAUUUUAACAUGCAUUCCUUAAAAAAAUAUAAUUUCUGUAAGAAAAUUAUUGUUAUAAAUUUAAAGAAAUUUUAUUCUUUUUUUUAAUAUAAAAAUAUAUUAGAAGAUGAAUCCCUAAAAAAAUGAAAAUAGAUAAAUAAAAGGGGCUCUAUGAGGAAACCCCCUCAUUACUUCUUUUAAUGGAGAGAGGCCCAAAAUAUUUCUCUCCAUUUGAGAAAAGCCCAAACCCAUUUUCAGCCAUUAUGUUUUCCAAUUUUGUCCCCGCCCGCCACAUCAUCACUGUGUCACGCGCUCAAUGUUUUUUUUUUUCGUUUUUCUUUUUUCCGUUUUUUUUUUUCCUUCUUUUCUGUAGCAGUUUCCUUAAUCGACUAUGAAGCAUAGUCGAUUAGCCUUAAUCGACUAUGCUUCAUAGUCGAUUAAGGAAAUUCUUUAAUUUUUUAAUUUUUUUGUUUUUUAAUUUUUUUUGUUUUAAUCUAUAUCAAGUAUAUUAAUCGACUAUGAUGAAGCAUAGUCAAGUAAUAAUCUGCUACUAAACAUAANNNNNNNNNNNNNNNNNNNNNNNNNNNNNNNNNNNNNNNNNNNNNNNNNNNNNNNNNNNNNNNNNNNNNNNNNNNNNNNNNNNNNNNNNNNNNNNNNNNNUUCAUUUGCUCAAAUAUUUACACAAGUUGUGAUCGUUGAUUUUCUACAUAAUAUUUUUUGAGAUAAAAUUCACUUCCGCUUAAACUAGAUUCAAAGAGCUUUACAAUGACAUACUAUAAGCAUAUAUGUAGAAAUUGGUUUUUCGUUUUAUACAUAAAGUAGUUUUGAAUUUUAAAUUAAUUAUUAUUUAUUACGUAUAUUCCACAAAUAUGAUAACAUGAUAUUUUUUUGUGUCUUACCUUUUCAUAUAUUAUAUUUGUAUAACCAAUUUUUUUCUAUGUAAAAUAAAAUGAUAAUGAAACAUGAAUGCUAUUGUUAAAAAAAACUUGAAAUUUAAACGUGGAUGUAAUAAUCAUAAAUUUAAAGGUACGGAUUAUGUAAAAAAAAAAAAAAUACUUUGCACACUUGAAAUAUACAUUUUGGAACUUUGCACCACAGAGAAGAGAGAACGGAGGAGAGAGAAGAGAAGAGAGAGAAGAAAAAACGAGAGAACAGAGAAGAGAGAACGGAGGAGAGAGAAAAGAAGAGAGAAAAGGAAAAGAAUAACAACGGCGUGAGAUGUUAAAAUUUAGGGUAAUGAGUAAGGGUAUAAUUGGGAGAUUACCUUUAUUAAUUAUCCAAGCUAAUAACAAAAGGGGUUUUCUCUAAUUAUUUUUGGGAGAGGGGUUUUCCUUAACUACAUUUCCUAGAUGAGGGGGUUAUUGCUAUUUAUCCCUAAAUUAAAAGGAUAAUAGGUAAGAUUAAAUUAAUAUUCAAAUUUCAAGUGUCGAUAUUUUAAUCAGGGAGACCAUAACAUAUAUGAAUUAAAAAAUAAAAAUAUUAAAAUAUGACCUACUGGAAAAAUAAAAAUAUUAAAAUAUGAAUUAAAUAAAUUAGUUGAUGUAUUUUAAGUUGUUUUCGACAUUUUUAGUUGAUUUUGAUUUUUUAUAGUUAUUUCAAUAAUAUGUAGUAAUUUUUCAAUUUGGUAAAUUAGUUGGGAAAAAAAUUCGUUUUGAAUUCAAAAUAAAUGAUAUGAAAAAUAAAAACGAAGCUUUUUAGUUGAUUUUCAGAAAAAAUUUAGUCGAUUUGGAAAAUAUUAUAGUAGAUUUUGGAGAAACGAAACUAAAAAAAUGUUGAAAAUAAUAUUAAUUUUUAGUUAUUAAAAAAUAUUUAUAAAAAUUAUUUAAAACGCUAUUUUUUUUAAAUAAACAAAACGAAAAUUAAAAUAGAAAAUAGAAAAAAAAUAAAAAAUGUAUGUGCAGCAAAUAAUAGGGAAGGGUAAAUUUGAUAAUAAAUAAAUCUGGGUUUAUCACUAAUAAAGAAAAAGUGACUAGAUCCAUCAUUAUUAAAAAAAUGCUAGAGGGGGUUUUCACUAAUAGAUCUAUAAACUAACUUACACCAUUAAUUAGUUAGAGUCAAUUGUGUAAUAAAAAUAAUGAAAUAUCAAGUGUCUUUCAUUUGCUCAAAUAUUUACACAAGUUGUGAUCGUUGAUUUUCUACAUAAUAUUUUUUGAGAUAAAAUUCACUUCCGCUUAAACUAGAUUCAAAGAGCUUUACAAUGACAUACUAUAAGCAUAUAUGUAGAAAUUGGUUUUUCGUUUUAUACAUAAAGUAGUUUUGAAUUUUAAAUUAAUUAUUAUUUAUUACGUAUAUUCCACAAAUAUGAUAACAUGAUAUUUUUUUGUGUCUUACCUUUUCAUAUAUUAUAUUUGUAUAACCAAUUUUUUUCUAUGUAAAAUAAAAUGAUAAUGAAACAUGACUGCUAUUGUUAAAAAAAACUUGAAAUUUAAACGUGGAUAUAAUAAUCAUAAAUUUAAAGGUACGGAUUAUGUAAAAAAAAAAAAUACUUUGCACACUCGAAAUAUACAUUUUUGGAACUUUGCACCACAGAGAAGAGAGAACGGAGGAGAGAGAAGAGAAGAGAGAGAAGAAAAAACCAGAGAACAGAGAAGAGAGAACGGAGGAGAGAGAAGAGAAGAGAGAAAAGGAAAAGAAUAACAACGGCGUGAGAUGUUAAAAUUUAGGGUUAUGAGUAAGGGUAUAAUUGGGAGAUUACCUUUAUUAAUUAUCCAAGCUAAUAACAAAAGGGGUUUUCUCUAAUUAUUUUUGGGAGAGGGGUUUUCCUUAACUACAUUUCCUAGAUGAGGGGGUUAUUGCUAUUUAUCUCUAAAUUAAAAGGAUAAUAGGUAAGAUUAAAUUAAUAUUCAAAUUUCAAGUGUCAUAUUUUAAUCAGGGAGACCAUAACAUAUAUGAAUUAAAAAAUAAAAAUAUUAAAAUAUGACCUACGGGAAAAAUAAAAAUAUUAAAAUAUGAAUGAAAAAAAUUAGUUGAUGUAUUUUAAGUUGUUUUCGACAUUUUUAGUUGAUUUUGAUUUUUUAUAGUUAUUUCAAUAAUAAGUAGUAAUUUUUCAAUUUGGUAAAUUAGUUGGGAAAAAAAUUCGUUUUGAAUUCAAAAUAAAUGAUAUGAUAAAUAAAAACGAAGCUUUUUAGUUGAUUUUCAGAAAAAAUUUAGUCGAUUUGGAAAAUAUUAUAGUAGAUUUUGGAGAAACGAAACUAAAAAAAUGUUGAAAAUAAUAUUAUUUUUUAGUUAUUAAAAAAUAUUUAUAAAAAUUAUUUAAAACGCUAUUUUUUUUAAAUAAACAAAACGAAAAUUAAAAGAGAAAAUAGAAAAAAAAUAAAAAAUGUAUGUCCAGCAAAUAAUAGGGAAUGGUAAAUUUGAUAAUAAAUAAAUCUGGGUUUAUCACUAAUAAAGAAAAAGUGACUAGAUCCAUCAUUAUUAAAAAAAUGCUAGAGGGGGUUUUCACUAAUAGAUCUAUAAACUAACUUACACCAUUAAUUAGUUAGAGUCAAUUGUGUAAUAAAAAUAAUGAAAUAUCAAGUGUCUUUCAUUUGCUCAAAUAUUUACACAAGUUGUGAUCGUUGAUUUUCUACAUAAUAUUUUUUGAGAUAAAAUUCACUUCCGCUUAAACUAGAUUCAAAGAGCUUUACAAUGACAUACUAUAAGCAUAUAUGUAGAAAUUGGUUUUUCGUUUUAUACAUAAAGUAGUUUUGAAUUUUAAAUUAAUUAUUAUUUAUUACGUAUAUUCCACAAAUAUGAUAACAUGAUAUUGUUUUGUGUCUUACCUUUUCAUAUAUUAUAUUUGUAUAACCAAUUUUUUUCUAUGUAAAAUAAAAUGAUAAUGAAACAUGACUGCUAUUGUUAAAAAAAACUUGAAAUUUAAACGUGGAUAUAAUAAUCAUAAAUUUAAAGGUACGGAUUAUGUAAAAAAAAAAAUACUUUGCACACUCGAAAUAUACAUUUUUGGAACUUUGCACCACAGAGAAGAGAGAACGGAGGAGAGAGAAGAGAAGAGAGAGAAGAAAAAACGAGAGAACAGAGAAGAGAGAACGGAGGAGAGAGAAGAGAAGCGAGAAAAGGAAAAGAAUAACAACUGCGUGAGAUGUUAAAAUUUAGGGUUAUGAGUAAGGGUAUAAUUGGGAGAUUACGUUUAUUAAUUAUCCAAGCUAAUAACAAAAGGGGUUUUCUCUAAUUAUUUUUGGGAGAAGGGGUUUUCCUUAACUAAAUUUCCUAGAUGAGGGGGUUAUUGCUAUUUAUCCCUAAAUUAAAAGGAUAAUAGGUAAGAUUAAAUUAAUAUUCAAAUUUCAAGUGUCGAUAUUUUAAUCAGGGAGACCAUAACAUAUAUGAAUUAAAAAAUAAAAAUAUUAAAAUAUGACCUACUGGAAAAAUAAAAAUAUUAAAAUAUGAAUGAAAAAAAUUAGUUGACGUAUUUUAAGUUGUUUUCGACAUUUUUAGUUGAUUUUGAUUUUUUAUAGUUAUUUCAAUAAUAUGUAGUAAUUUUUCAAUUUGGUAAAUUAGUUGGGAAAAAAAUUCGUUUUGAAUUCAAAAUAAAUGAUAUGAUAAAUAAAAACGAAGCUUUUUAGUUGAUUUUCAGAAAAAAUUUAGUCGAUUUGGAAAAUAUUAUAGUAGAUUUUGGAGAAACGAAACUAAAAAAAUGUUGAAAAUAAUAUUAUUUUUUAAUUAUUAAAAAAUAUUUAUAAAAAUUAUUUAAAACACUAUUUUUUUAAAUAAACAAAACGAAAAUUAAAAUAGAAAAUAGAAAAAAAAUAAAAAAGGUAUGUGCAGCAAAUAAUAGGGAAGGGUAAAUUUGAUAAUAAAUAAAUAUGGGUUUAUCACUAAUAAAGAAAAAGUGACUAGAUCCAUCAUUAUUAAAAAAAUGCUAGAGGGGGUUUUCACUAAUAGAUCUAUAAACUAACUUACACCAUUAAUUAGUUAGAGUCAAUUGUGUAAUAAAAAUAAUGAAAUAUCAAGUGUGUUUCAUUUGCUCAAAUAUUUACACAAGUUGUGAUCGUUGAUUUUCUACAUAAUAUUUUUUGAGAUAAAAUUCACUUCCGCUUAAACUAGAUUCAAAGAGCUUUACAAUGACAUACUAUAAGCAUAUAUGUAGAAAUUGGUUUUUCGUUUUAUACAUAAAGUAGUUUUGAAUUUUAAAUUAAUUAUUAUUUAUUACGUAUAUUCCACAAAUAUGAUAACAUGAUAUUUUUUUGUGUCUUACCUUUUCAUAUAUUAUAUUUGUAUAACCAAUUUUUUUCUAUGUAAAAUAAAAUGAUAAUGAAACAUGACUGCUAUUGUUAAAAAAAACUUGAAAUUUAAACGUGGAUAUAAUAAUCAUAAAUUUAAAGGUACGGAUUAUGUAAAAAAAAAAAUACUUUGCACACUCGAAAUAUACAUUUUUGGAACUUUGCACCACAGAGAAGAGAGAACGGAGGAGAGAGAAGAGAAGAGAGAGAAGAAAAAACGAGAGAACAGAGAAGAGAGAACGGAGGAGAGAGAAGAGAAUUGAGAAAAGGAAAAGAAUAACAACGGCGUGAGAUGUUAAAAUUUAGGGUUAUGAGUAAGGGUAUAAUUGGGAGAUUACCUUUAUUAAUUAUCCAAGCUAAUAACAAAAGGGGUUUUCUCUAAUUAUUUUUGGGAGAGGGGUUUUCCUUAACUACAUUUCCUAGAUGAGGUGGUUAUUGCUAAUUAUCCCUAAAUAAAAAGGAUAAUAGAUAAGAUUAAAUUAAUAUUCAAAUUUCAAGUGUCGAUAUUUUAAUCAGGGAGACCAUGACAUAAGUAACACAAAAAUAAAAUACUGAAUAGUUUCAAAAAAUAUUUAUGUAGAAGAACUCAUUAAAAUGAAAAUUGUUUUAACUAUCACAAUAAAAUCAGAGAAAAAUUAAUGUGAGCAUGUAUAAACUAAUAUGUAAAAAAGUAUUUUAGUUAUUUUGUUCUAUAUUUUAUAUUCUUAUUCAUUUCAAUUUUUAAAAUAAUUAUAUUUCACCAUUCGUACAUACACAAUAAGAACAUUAAUUUUUAUUCUUAAUUGAUUUUACUUAAUUUUAAUUCAUUUUUGAAUAUUAUAUCUAACUUUAUUUUUGUAAUUAUACAUUUUCAAUUUUCACGUGCAACUAGUUGACAUCAUUGCACAUAGACACUAUUUGUUUUGUGCAAAAAAUAAAUAAAUACAUCUCAGGGACAUGACUUUGAGCUUGGGAAAGGUUAAAUAGUGAACUAGGUCCCAUUUACUAUACCCAUUUGAAACCCAGGCUUUAAAAUAAAAGAUUAUUGAAAACAAAACAACAAAUGGUCAAGUUGAUAGCUAAACAAAUUCCUAUAAAUAAGAACAUUAAGUUCAACUUGUGCAAAACGUGUUACAUGUGGUACAAGUAAUGGUCAGUCUAAACUGGACUUCGCAUCUCAAAAACCUAAUACAAAAGCUAAAUCACAAAUUCUACCUAAUUAAUUAACAUCAAGUGACAAAUAUUUGGACUGUCGGUCGGGUCGGGACCUUUCCACGGGCAAGCGGCGGUUGCCCUUUCACAUAGAAAAAUAAUAUUUCUUAUAUAUUAUUAAUAGGUUUUGUUUUUGUUAUAUUUGGGCUCUCUCAAAAUUAAAUUAUUGAACUAAGUUAUCUUUUACUUUAUGGCAAAUUACAACCUUUCAUGAGAUAUGGUCAAAUUACGAAAACCCUCUCAUGUUUGGGUAAUUACAACCGUCCAUCAACUAUAAAUCUUCUUACACGUCUACCCUUGUGGUUUCAAAUUUAGUGGAAUCUUCGAGAUUAUAUAUAAUAUUAUCACUUUUGUACCCGUUUUAUCCCAUUCGAACUCCAAAUUUUGAAGCAAGAUGAUCAUAAUAUGUGUUUUUUUUCUUGUGUAUAUUAGAUUUUGGUGCAUCAUAAACUGUAUUUUUACACCAAACGAAUACAAACUAGAGCACAUUCCACGAAAUCUAGAUGGUUAUGUUGAAUUUGACACCAUAAGGGUGGAGGUGUAAGAAAAAAUCAUAGUUGAGGGGUAGAUGUAAUUAUCCAAACAAGAGGGGUUUUUUCGUAAAUUGACCAUACCUCAUGGGUGGUUGUAAUUUACCCUUUACUUUAAGAUGCAAAUCAUCGCUUUCCAGUUACUAUUAGUUUUAGUAAGCAAUUUCGUUAGAGAGACUCCAGACCUAAUAUCAGAUCCAUCCUAAAAUAGGAGCACAUGCCUCGUUCAAGUUUUAUCCUGCCUUUUCUUUGUAACCUUUUGCAACAAGUAUCGUCUUUUAUUUAUUGGUGGAACCAUCAAAAUUGAUUUUUGUUUUGAACAUCCAUUUCUCACCGUUAGGAGAUUUAUAUAAGGUAAAGGUGUAAGCUCAAAGGUUUUUUUUUUUUUUUCCCAAUCGCAUUGGUCUCCUCUUUCAUAGCUUGGUUUCAUUCUUCUUCUUUUGAGCUUCUUUAUAAGAAAUUGAACAAAGACCACAAAUAUUUACAAAUUUAAGGGUUGUAUUGAACAAAGAACAUGAAUAUUUACAUUUUCUUGAAAAAACAAAUUUCAAAAUUUUCUUGAAACCGUCCAUCAAUUAUGUCAAAAUACCAUAAUUAAAAUUGACUCCUUAGUAGAAUAUCCUGUCUCCAAAGAAUCCCAUCACCAUAUUUCAAGUUUGUAAAUUCGAUAGUCAUUUUAUAAUCUUAAUCAAUUCCAUCUAUGUUAAAUAGAGACUGGAGAAAUAAGAGCAUAAAUGUGAUUUCGAAUAUGAGAUUUUAUAAAUUAGGGAUUUUCUUAGUCAAUCAAAGUUUGUCACUUGGGAGUGUCGUAUAUUGAGAAAAAAAAAAAAAAAGAUAUUAGAAAGUAUUUAUAUUGAUGAUUUUUUUUCAAGAAAUGUGACCACCUCGAGACAUAUAGUAAACCUUACCUUUUUAUACUACAUAUGUACUUUGGAUUUUUGUUUGUACAUUUUUACUAUUUGUAGUUUGUAAUAUUUUGUUGCGCACUAAAUUUUUGUAGACCCUUGAGAAAAAAAUUGGAUUCUGCAUACAGUGAUUUGUGGGUCAAAUAAGUUUUAAAGAUUGCGCGUCAAAUAAAUGAAUUGAUUUGGAAGGUAGUAAGAAAAAUGCAUGUAACAAAAAUAAUGAAUUGAUUUGGACGUACAUUAGAAAAUAUGCAGGGGACAAGAAAUUAAGAUAUGUAUAGUUGGGGGCUAAUAAUUCAUUAAUUUAUCUCAUGGUGAUAUCGUUAUCAUUUUCUUGCAAAUAAUAGCUAUUUAUACAUAACAGUACACAAACAACACACAUUUAUAUUCUUCUCUUUCCUUAUUUAUUUUUUAUUUCCAAUAUUGUUUAUGAUUUGUUGAAUAUAAUGUGUGGUUGUUAGUAAAAGUACGUACCCCAACUCCAACCCAAAAACUACAAAAUUUAAAUGAAAGUAUAAAUGAAGUCGACAUUUAGUUCUAAAUUCUAAUAAGUUUUGUACCAGACAUGCAUAAUUUAAGUUAUUUGUGCGGAAUGUGAAUCCGCAAAAAUAGCAAACAGUGGUCUUUCUUUGUUUUGGCAGGAGACUUCUAAAUGGAAGGAGACAGUGCAUUUCACCCCCUAUAUUGUUUUUUAUUUUCGCACUUUCGAUCCCCCCCUAAAACUUCAAAGAAAGUGAUAACACCCAAUUAAAAUACUGAUUCGUUGCACUUUGCUGCAAAAGUUAAUUUAUGGUGGGCAAUGUGCAAGAGAAUAAUAUUUUAAAGUCGCAAUGUGCAAUAAAAAAUAAUAUUUUUAAAUGGACAAUGUGUACUGUUGGGUGCUAAAUACCAACACGCAAGUGUACGUAUCGCAAACAAGUAGUAAAGUAGACUCGUGAGAGUCGGAUGUCGAUCCCACAGGGAAUACGUAAAUUAUUUAAUCCUAAGUACCAAAUCCUAACAAUUGUGAUUUUUAUCCAGCCUACGCAAGGUUGUCAAAUUAAUUAACUAAUAAAAUUAAAAUAAUUAAGAAAACAAGUAAUCACGAGAAAAAUCAAUAAUAAACGGAUCUAGGAUUUUAUCUUCCCCCUAUGCAAUAAUUCUCACCCAAUUAAUCUCCUAUUAUGCAAGUUACGAUUCCCGAUUAUUAACCCAAGACACGAAAUUAUUCAUAACCAGCUGUCGCUGCGCUAUAAACCUAUUAUUCAUAAAAGAUUCACUAUAUGUCUAUGCAAACCUAAUAUAAAUAAAGCAUUAAAUAACAAGUCUCGCAAACGGCUACCUAAGGUAUUAUCUGUAUGUCUACGAUAAUACAUGCAAUUAACACACGCAUUCGGUGAAAAACUACUCGAAGGCUCUUCUAUCUCUGUUCUAAUUAUUAAAACGAUCUGUCAAUCAAUUCUAACAAUAACAAAUAGCAACAUAAGUUAGCUACGCUCAUGCACUAAAUAAGAUCAAGAUAGAAGAAAUAAUCGAAGAAUUAAACUUGCAUAAAAGUCGAAAAAGAGGUUCGAAUCACCACAUAGGGUUCCAAUAAAAUCCUAGAAUAAAAACUUAGCUACUCAUGUUCGUAACGAAAAGCAUAAUAAAAAUACGAAAAUUCAUAAAAAUCAGAAAAGAAAAGGAAAAAGGAAAACUAGGAUGAAGAGUCGUCAAGUCUUCGUCUUCGUUCUCUUGCUCCUCGAUUGCGUGUAGAAGAGAUGAAAAAUAAAAACUAAAGAAAAAGAUAAAAGAUAAAAAGAUUGAUCUAAUUGUGUGCUUGUGGCCUUUAAAUAGGGUGCAAAAAUAUAAUAGGGCGGGUUUCCUUGUGUAAUUAAAAUUCCUUCACUGCGCCCCUACGACCAUCCGGACGGCCGUGUGAGAUUUUGAACUAAAAUCCGCACGGCCGUGCGGUCUUUAAUUCUCCAGAUUUCUGAUUUUUUCACUUUUGGCCCACUUUUUCUCUGAAUUUGCAGUUUUCACCCCAAAAGUUGCCAAUUCUUCAAUUUGCACCUAAAAUACAAAUAAUAACCAAAUUAAGCACCAAUUAUCGUAAAAACACAUCAAAAGCUCCAAUUAAAAGAUAGAAUUAAGUGUAUAAAUAUACACUUAACACACCCCCAAACUUGAACUUUUGCUUGUCCUCAAGUAAAAUCAAAUUAAUAGCUCAAAACAAAACCAUACAUCUCAUUACAUAGAUCGAUGGGUCAACCUCGCGUUUUCAGAACUUGCAAUUAUGAUGACAAUUCAUAGGUAUUCACAAGCUUAACAUUCAACGGUACUUAGUCACUCACUAUUACCAAAAACCACAAAUCAUACAAUUGCUUCAAGUAUCCAAUAUUUGCAAGUUAAAGAUAGAAAGAAUUUAUACUUACAUGCAUAUAUUUGACUCCAAAUACCCACCAAAUUAUUUUACUCAACUAAUAUUGAACAAUAAGCUAUUGGGAUCAUUGGGGCUUUGUGGCUUUCAAUUGUUAGGCUCUUUGGUCCGAGGUAGGUAAUAUGGAAAUGUGUGGCUAAUUUUCUUGAAUUGAGGUGAUUACGCCAAUAUUUGAACGAUAGGCGUUUGAAACAAUGAAUUCACCUCUAGGGACUUUAAUAAACUCGAUUCUCCAAAAUUCACACGUCAACAUUGUUGCCUUGAGGCAAUGACUCGAGUUUUCAACACAAUUCAACAACUAGUCCUUAUUUCUCCCUUAUAAUCUAUUCUUCUUCUUCUUCUAUUUUUAUUUUUUAUUUUUUUUUUAUUAUUUUUUUUUUUAAUCGAAUCAAAGACUUAGAUAUAUAUAUAUGAAGAUGCACAUAUAUAUCUAUUGUGUUUUUUUUUUUUUUUUUUUUUUUUUUUCGAAGAAGAAGAAAGAUCUUAUAAGAAUUUUUCGACCGACAUCUAAGGGAUAAUUAUUCAAAAAUCUCCACUUUUCUACCUUCCACAUAUUGGCUAAAAGAAAGAACACCUUUUCUCCGAGGCUCAAAUCAAGGUUCUAAGGAUAAUUUGACAAAAAAAGGUAGGCUUGAAAGGCUCAAACGGUUCAAAGAAGGCCCAAAUCAUAUCCCAAAUCACUUAUUAUCAACACUUCGUAUCAUAAAUGUCCUAAGGUGAGAUUUAAAACCGAACAAAGCAUGAUUGAGCACAAAUAAAUUCCAAAUUUAAAAUGCAAAACAUUCAACCAAAGCAAUGCACAAGGUGUGAUUCCUAGCAAUAAUUCACUUCUACGUUCCGUUGAAUCGAAAGCUAAACAAAUACAUACUCCUUAUCAACAUAAAACAAGUAGUUUCAUCAUCAAACAUUGACCAUCUACCAUCAUCGUAAUUCAUCGAUGCAUCGAACAAAUUUUUUUUUUUUUUUUUUUUUUUGAAUAAAACGAAAAUAAUAAAACGGCAACUAAAACAACAAACUAAAACAUGCACAAUAAAAAAAUAAAACACACAUAAAGCACAUAAAUGAAAACAAGUAGUUAACCACCCCCAAACUUAAAAUUCACAUUGCCCUCAAUGUGAUUUGCCCGGAGUUUAAGGAUAGAAAACACCUGUUUUAAAUGUCGGGACCAUCGUCGGGAUUAUACGUGAAUUGAUGUGCAAAAUUCCCCCCAAACUUGACUUGGGCAAUUCGUCGAACACCUUGUGGGCGUUCUUGGUGGAGUGGGUUUGUGGAGAAAAUUGCACCUUUCUUGAAUCCCCCCUGCGCAAAUCAACAAGAAACCACCACGAUUAAGAAGUAUGUGUGUGUAAUUGGUGAAUUUUCGGUGAAUUUGGUCCAAGAAAAUUGAAAAUUUUGAAAAGAGGGGGGUAGGGUUCGAAGUGGAAGAGAGGGGAUUUGGGAAUUAUGGAAAUUGGGGUUUGGAAAAAACCCUAUUUAAUAUGCCCGGAUUUUUUUU